rnacentral:lncRNA from 1 species
GAAUAAGAAGUAAAAGCUUUCUAUUAUGCCUCGAGAGUAUAAAUUUGGAACGAAUUGAUGUCAACGUUCACAAAAACCAAAACCGGAACAACAUUAGACUACUCAGUUGCGCCAUAACAGUAUAACUUUGCAACGAGUACUUUUUCUCAUUCUAUCGAAUAAGGAGUAAAAGUUUUCUAUUAUGCCCCGAGAGUGUAAAUUUCGAACGAAUCGAUGUCAACGUUCACAAUAACCAAAACUGGAACAACAUUAGACUACUCAAUUGCGCCAUAACAGUAUAACUUUGCAAUGAGUAUUUUUUCUCAUUCUAUCGAAUAAGGAGUAAAAGCUUUCUAUUAUGCCCCGAGAGUGUAAAUUUGGAACGAAUCGAUGUNNNNNNNNNNNNNNNNNNNNNNNNNUCAAUAAGACAAUACCGCGUUGACUCAUCAGAUUACAACAAAGCCAAAACCAAGAACACUUGCAACUGUAGCUAAGCAAGGUUUAAAUGUGAGAGCCCCGUAUUAUCUUGUUAAAUUAAUCCAAAAUGAGAAACAAGCUAUCUUAAUCUUUUUCAUGAGCAACGUUACAAUAUGACAAUACCGAGUUGACUCAUCAGAUUACAACAAGACCAAAACCAAGAACACUUGCAACUGUAGCUAAACAAGGUUUAAAUGUGAGAGCCCCGUAUUAUCUUGUUAUAUUAAACCAAAACGAGAAAAAAGCUAACUUACUCUUUUUCAUGAUCAAAAUUCCAAUAUGACAAUCCCGAGUUGAUUCAUCAGAUUACAACAAGGCCAAAACCAAGAACACUUGCAACUGUAGCUAAGCAAGCUUUAAUUGUGAAAGCCCCGUAUUUGUCUUUUCCAAAAAGAGAAAUAAGCUAACUUACUCUUUUUCAUGAUCAACGUUUCAAUAUGACAAUCCCGAGUUGAUUCAUCAGAUUGCAACAAGGCCAAAACCAAGAACACUUGCAACUGUAGCUAAGCAAGGUUUAAAUGUGAGAGCCCCGUAUUAUCUUUCGAAAAUGAGGAAUAAGCUAUCUUACUCUUUUUUAUGAGUAACGUUUCAAUAUGACAAUACCGCGUUAACUCAUCAGAUUACAACAAGGUCAAAACCAAUAACACUUGCAACUGUAGCUAAGCAAGCUUUAAAUGUGAGAGCCCCGUAUUAUCUUUUGAAAAUGAGGAAUAAGCUAUCUUACUCUUUUUCAUGAGCAACGUUUCAAUAUGACAAUANNNNNNNNNNNNNNNNNNNNNNNNNNNNNNNNNNNNNNNNNNNNNNNNNNNNNNNNNNNNNNNNNNNNNNNNNNNNNNNNNNNNNNNNNNNNNNNAUAACUUUGCAACGAGUAUUUUUUCUCAUUCUAUCGAAUAAGGAGUAAAAGCUUUCUAUUCUGCCCCGAGAGUGUAAAUUUGGAACGAAUCGAUGUCAACGUUCACGAGAACCAAAAUCGGAACAACGUUAGACUACUUAGUUGAGCCCUAACAGUAUAACUUUGCAACUAGUACUUUUUCUCAUUCAAUCGAAAAAAGAGUAAAACCAAAUUAUAUUGUUCUAUUUUGCCCCGAGAGUAAAUUUGGAACAAAUCGAUGUCACCUUUCACAAGAACCCAAACCAGAACAACAUUAGACUUCUCAGUUGAGCCCUAACAGUAUAACAUUGCAACUAGUACUUUUUCUAAUUCUAUCGAACAAAUAGUAAAGCCUAAUUAAAUUGUUCUAUUAUGCCCUGAGAGUGUAAAUUUGGAACGAAUCGAUGUCAACGUUUACAAGAAGCAAAACGGAAACAACAUUAGACUACUCAGUUGCGCCAUAACAGAAUAACUUUGGAGCGAGUAUUUUUUCUCAUUCUAUCGAAUAAGUAGUAAAAGCUUUCUAUUAUGCCCCGAGAGUGUAAAUUUGGAACGAAUCGAUGUCAACGUUCACAAGAACCAAAANNNNNNNNNNNNNNNNNNNNNNNNNNNNNNNNNNNNNNNNNNNNNNNNNNNNNNNNNNNNNNNNNNNNNNNNNNNNNNNNNNNNNNNNNNNNNNNNNNNNNNNNNNNNNNNNNNNNNNNNNNNNNNNNNNNNNNNNNNNNNNNNNNNNNNNNNNNNNNNNNNNNNNNNNNNNNNNNNNNNNNNNNNNNNNNNNNNNNNNNNNNNNNNNNNNNNNNNNNNNNNNNNNNNNNNNNNNNNNNNNNNNNNNNNNNNNNNNNNNNNNNNNNNNNNNNNNNNNNNNNNNNNNNNNNNNNNNNNNNNNNNNNNNNNNNNNNNNNNNNNNNNNNNNNNNNNNNNNNNNNNNNNNNNNNNNNNNNNNNNNNNNNNNNNNNNNNNNNNNNNNNNNNNNNNNNNNNNNNNNNNNNNNNNNNNNNNNNNNNNNNNNNNNNNNNNNNNNNNNNNNNNNNNNNNNNNNNNNNNNNNNNNNNNNNNNNNNNNNNNNNNNNNNNNNNNNNNNNNNNNNNNNNNNNNNNNNNNNNNNNNNNNNNNNNNNNNNNNNNNNNNNNNNNNNNNNNNNNNNNNNNNNNNNNNNNNNNNNNNNNNNNNNNNNNNNNNNNNNNNNNNNNNNNNNNNNNNNNNNNNNNNNNNNNNNNNNNNNNNNNNNNNNNNNNNNNNNNNNNNNNNNNNNNNNNNNNNNNNNNNNNNNNNNNNNNNNNNNNNNNNNNNNNNNNNNNNNNNNNNNNNNNNNNNNNNNNNNNNNNNNNNNNNNNNNNNNNNNNNNNNNNNNNNNNNNNNNNNNNNNNNNNNNNNNNNNNNNNNNNNNNNNNNNNNNNNNNNNNNNNNNNNNNNNNNNNNNNNNNNNNNNNNNNNNNNNNNNNNNNNNNNNNNNNNNNNNNNNNNNNNNNNNNNNNNNNNNNNNNNNNNNNNNNNNNNNNNNNNNNNNNNNNNNNNNNNNNNNNNNNNNNNNNNNNNNNNNNNNNNNNNNNNNNNNNNNNNNNNNNNNNNNNNNNNNNNNNNNNNNNNNNNNNNNNNNNNNNNNNNNNNNNNNNNNNNNNNNNNNNNNNNNNNNNNNNNNNNNNNNNNNNNNNNNNNNNNNNNNNNNNNNNNNNNNNNNNNNNNNNNNNNNNNNNNNNNNNNNNNNNNNNNNNNNNNNNNNNNNNNNNNNNNNNNNNNNNNNNNNNNNNNNNNNNNNNNNNNNNNNNNNNNNNNNNNNNNNNNNNNNNNNNNNNNNNNNNNNNNNNNNNNNNNNNNNNNNNNNNNNNNNNNNNNNNNNNNNNNNNNNNNNNNNNNNUCAUUCUAUCGAAUAAGGAGUAAAAGCUUUCUAUUAUGCCCCGAGAGUGUAAAUUUGGAACGAAUCGAUGUCAACGUUCACAAGAACCAAAACCGGAAGAACGUUAGACUUCUCAGUUGAGCCCUAACAGUAUAACAUUGCAACUAGUACUUUUUCUCAUUCAAUCGAAUAAAGAGUAAAACCGAAUUUUAUUGUUCUAUUAUACCCCAAGAGUGUAAAUUUGGAAUGAAUCGAUGUCAGCGUUCACAAGAACCAAAACCGGAACAACAUUAGACUACUCAGUUCCGCAAUAACAGUAUAACUUUGCAAAGAGUACUUUCUCUCAUUCUAUCGAACAAGGAGUAAAAGCUUUCUAUUAUGCCCUAAGAGAGUAAAUUUGGUACGAAUCGAAGUCAACGUUCACAAGAACCAAAACCGGAACAACGUUAGACUACUCAGUUGAGCCCUAACAGCAUAACUUUGCAGCUAGUACAUUUUCUCAUUCAAUCGAACAAAGAGCAAAAUCUAAUUAUAUGGUUCAAUUAUACCCCGAGAGUGUAAAUUUGGAACGAAUCGAGAUCAUCGUUCACAAGAACCAAUUCUAGAACAACAUUAGACUACUCAGUUGCUCCCUAACAGUAUAAUUUUACAACUAGUACUUAUUCUCAUUCAAUCGAACGAAGAAUAAAACCUAAUUAAAUUGUUUUAUUAUGCCCCGUGAGUGUAAAUUUGGGACGAAUCGAUGUCAACAUUCAUAAGAACCAAAACCGGAACAACAUUUGACUACUCAAUUGCGCCAUAACAGUAUAACCUUGCAACGAGUACUUUUUCUCAUUCAAUCGAAUAAAGAGCAAAAUCUAAUUAUAUGGUUCAAUUAUACCCCGAGAGUGUAAAUUUGGAACGAAUCAAUGACAUUGUUCACAAGAACCAAAACCGAAAAAAUAUUAGACAACUCAGUUACGCCAUAACAGUCUAAGUUUGCAACGAGUACUUUUUCUCAUUCUGUCGAACAAGGAGUAAAAGCUUUCUAUUAUGCCCCGAGAGUGUAAAUUUGGAACGAAUCGAAGUCAACGUUCACAAGAACCAAAAUCGGAACAAAGUUAGACUACUCAGUUGAGCCAUAACAGUAUAAUUUUGCAACUAAUACUUUUUCUCAAUCAAUCGAACAAAGAGUAAAACCUAGUUAAAUUGUUCUAAUAUGCCCCGAGAGUGUAAAUUUGGAACGAAUCGAUGUCAACGUUCACAAGAACGAAAACCGGAACAACAUUGAUUAUUCAGUUGCUCCAUAACAGUAUAACUUUGCAACGAGUACUUUUUCUCAUUCUAUCAAACAAAGAGUAAAAGCUUUCUAUUAUGCUCCAAGAGUGUAAAUUCGGAACGAAUCGAUGUCAACGUUCUCAAGUACCAACACCGGAACAACGUUAGACUACUCAGUUGAGCCAAAACAGUAUAACUUUGCAACUACUUUUUCUCAUUCAACCGAACAAAGAGCAAAACCUAAUUAUAUUGUUCUAUUAUACCACGAGAGUCUAAAUAUGGAACGAAUCGAUGUCAAUGUUCACAAGAACCAAAACCGAAACAACGUUAGACUAUUCAGUUGCGCCAUAACAGCAUUACUUUGCAACGAGUACUUUUUCUCAUUCUAUCGAAUAAGGAGUAAAACUUUCUAUCAUGCCCCUCGAGUGUAAAUUUGGAACGAAUCGAUGUCAACGUUCACAAGAACCAAAACCGGAACAAAGUUGACUACUCAGUUGGGCCCUAACAGUAUAACAUUCCAACUAGUACAUUUUCUCAUCCAAUCGAACAAAGAGUAAGAACUAAUUAUAUGGUUCUAUUAUGCCCCGAGAGUUUAAAUUUGGAACGAAUCGAUAUCAACGUUCACAAGAACCAAUGUCGGAACAACAUUAGACUACUCAGUUGCGCCCUAACAGUAUAAUUUUGCAACUAGUACUUUUUCUCAUUCAAUCGAACAAAGAAUAAAAUCUAAUUAAAUUGUUCUAUUAUGCCCCGUGUGUGUAAAUUUGGAACGAAUCGAUGUCAACGUUCACAAGAACCAAAACCGGAACAACAUUAGACUACUCAAUUGCGCCAUAACAGUAUAAAUUUGCAACGAGUAUUUUUUCUCAUUCAAUCGAAUAAAGAGUAAAACCUAAUUAUAUUGUUCUCUUAUGCCGCGAGAGUGUUAAUUUGGAACGAAUCGAUGUCAAUGUUCACAAGAACCAAAACCGAAACAACAUUAGACUACUCAGUUGCGCCAUAACAGUAUAACUUUGCAACGAGUAAUUUUUCUCAUGUUAUCGAACAUGGAGUAAAAGCUUUCAAUUAUGCCCCAAGAGUGUAAAUUUGGAAUGAAUCGAUGUCAACGUUCACAAGAACCAAAAUCGGUACAAAGUUAGACUACUCACUUGAGCCCUAACAGAAUAACUUUGCAACUAGUANNNNNNNNNNNNNNNNNNNNNNNNNAUUUAUUUGCCGAGCAGCUGAAAAUUUGCUGAACGAAUCGAGUGUCAACGUUCAAAGAACCAAACCGGAACAACAUUAGACUAUCAGUUGCGCGUUAUAACAGGUUAUAACUUUGCCGAGACCUUUUGUCUCAUUCUAUCGAACAAGGAGUAAAAAGUUUUCUAUUAUGGCCACCGGGAGAGUGUAACAAAUUUGGAACGAAUCGACGUGUCAACGUUCACAAGGAACAAAACCGGAAACAACGUUUAGUAUUCUCAGCUUGAGCCCUAACAGUAUAACAUUGCACUAGUACUGUUUUCUUCUAUUCAAUCUAACAAAGAGUAAACCUAAUUAUUUUUGUUGCUAUUAUGCCCGAGAGGUAUAAUUUCUGGAACGAAUCGAUGUUCAACUUUCACAAGGAAAGCAAACCGGAACCUAGCACUUAAACUACUCAGUUGCACCCCUCAACAGGUAUAACUUUGCCGCAAUACUUUUUUGUCUCAUUCAACUGAACAAGAGCUAAAACAUAUUAAAUUGUUCUAUAUGCCCCGAGCAGUGUAAAUUUGGAUACGAAUUCGAUGUCAUGUUCACAGCAACCAAAACGGAGACAUAUUAGACUACUCAGUUGAGCCAUAUUUUAUAUACUUUUGCACAACUCUCUUUUUUCUCAUUCUGGUCGAACAAGUAGUAAAGAUUUCUAUUGAUGGCCGACGUGUGUAAAUUUGGAACGAAUCGAUGUGCAAACGUUCACGUUAACCAAAACCAGCGACAACGUUUACUACUUAGUUGGUAUGGCCCAACAGUUUAACUAUUGCAACUAUUACUUUUCUCAUUCAAUCGAACAAAGAGGGAAACUGAAUGUAUAUUAUUCUAUUUUGCUCCCGAGAGUGGAAGAUUUGGAAACGAAUCAGAUAGUCAACGUUCACAAGAACGAAAACCGGAAAAACCAUAUAGAGUACUCAGGUCAGCGCAUAUGACUCAGUAUAACUUUGAACGAGUACUUUUUCUCAUUCUAUCGCAACAAGGAGUAAGAAGCUUUUCAUAUCUAUUGCUCGCGAGAGGUGUAAUUGGAACGAAUCGCGUAUGUCAACGGUUCGCAGAGUACCAAAAACCGGAACAACCUUUCUAGGCUUCUCAAGUUGAGCCCUAACAGUAUUAUAACAUUGCAAUAGGACUUUUUUUCUCAUUCAAAUUGUACAAAGAGUAAAAACCUAAUGUAUUUUGUUGUUAUUAUGGCCCGGGAGAGUGUAAAAGGUUGGGAACGAAAUCCGAUGGUCAACGUUCCAAAAACCAAAAACCGGAACAAAUUUAGGACCUAAACUCAGUUUUGGCCGCCUAUAACAGUCAGUAACUUGCUGCAAGCGAGUACUGGUUUUCUCGGAUUCGUGAUCGAACAAGGAAUAAAAGUUUUUUAUUAUACCUCCGGAUAGUGUUAGAAUUGUGGAACGAAUCUGAGUCAAUCGUUCAAAGAACCCAAACCGGAAACAACGUUAGAGACUUCUCAGUUGAGCCCUAACAGUAGUAAACAUAGGCAUACUAGUACUUUUUCUCAUUCAAUGUCGAACAAAAGAGUGUAAACCUUCAAUUAAUAUUGUUGUAUUAUGCCCGCGAGGUUUCAAAUUGAUAGAACGAAUUGAUGUCAACUUUUCACAAGAAGCAAAACCGGAACAGCCACGUGACUACUCAGUUGGCCUUUGGCCAACAGUAUAACUUGUAGCAACAGUACUUUUUCUCAUUCAGCCGAUAAAGAGUAAAAACAUUAAUUAAAUUGGUAUAUUAGCCCCGUAGGGAGAGUUGUAAAUUGGAACGAAUCGAUGUCAAUGUUCACAAGAACCAAACCGGAACAACAUUAGGAUACUCAGUUGAUGCCAUAAUUGUAAAACUUUGCAAACAGCUUUUUUUUCAGAUUCUAUAGAACAAGUAAACGUAAAGCUUUCUAAUAUGCCCGAGGAGUGUAAAAUUUGGAACGAAUCGAUGUUAACGUCACAAGGAACGAAAACCGGAACAACGUUUGAACUACUUUAGUUGAGCCCUAACAAUUAAACUUUGCAACUAGUACUUUUUUCAUUCAAUCGAACAAAGAGCAAAACCUAAGUUUAUAUUAUUCUAUUUUUUGCCCGCAGAGUGAAAUUUGGAACGAAUCGAUAAUGUCAACUGUUCACAAGACCAAAAACCGGCGAAACAACAUUUUGACUACUCGAGUUGCCGUAUAACGAGUAUAACUUUGCACUCGAGUACUUUUUUCUGAUUCUAUGCGAACAAGGAGUAAAUGCUUUCUAUUAUGCCCGAGAGGUGUAAAUUGGAAACGAAUCGAUGUCAACGUUCUACAAGGAACCAAACCGGGAAACAAGUUAGACUCUCAGUGAUGAUCCUACUGUAUUAAAUUGUAACUAGUACUUUUUUCUCAUAUCGAUUGACAACAAGAGUAGAAAACCUAAUUAUAUUGUUGUAUUAUGCGCCGCAGGAUGUAUAAAUUUAGAACGAAUCGAUGUCACUUUUCACACAAGAGCAAAACAGGAAUAACAUUAGGACUACUCAAUUGGCACAAAACGGCCCUAACAGUAUAACUUUGAACAAGUAAUUUUUCUCAUUGGACCGAACAAAAAUAAAACUUAUUAAAUUGUUUCUAUUAUGCCUCGAGUGUGUAAAUUUGGAACGAUCACUCAAUUUACAAACCAAACCGGAACAACAUUUGAGAUACUAUUAGUUGCGCCAGUAUACUAAUGUAUAAAUAAAUUAUUAUAUUUAUUUAAAAUACUUUAUAACUUGCAACAAUCACUUUUUCUUAUACUAAUUCGAACAAGGAGUAAAAAGCUUUCUAUUAUACGCAAGAGAUGUAAAUUUUUGGAACGAAUCGAUGUCACAACGGUUCAGAAGAACAUAACCGGAACAACGUUAACUACUUAGGUGAGCCCUAACAGUUUAGCUUUGCAACUAGUACUUUUUCUCAUUCAAUCGAACAAAGAGCAAAACCAAAUUAUAUUAUUCUAUAUUUUGCCCCGAGAGUUAAAUUUGGAACGAAUCGAUGUCAACGUUCACAAAAACAAGAAAACCGGAACAACAUUUGGAAUAACCAGUUGCGCCAUACAGGUAUAACUUUCAAGAGUACUUUUUCUCAUUCUAUGAAACAAGGAGCUAAAAGCUUUUCUAUGUAUUACCCCGAGAGUGAAAUUUUGGAACGAAUCGAUGUCAAGUGUCACAAGAACCAAAACCGGGAACAACGUUAGGACUCUCGUUGAAGCCCUAACAGUGAUAACAUUGCAACUAGUACUUUUUCUCUUCAUUCGAACAAAGAGUUAUUAAACCUAAUUAUAUUGUUGUAUUAUUGCCCGAAAGUGUUAAAAUUUGGAACGAAUCGAUUGUCCAACUUUCACAAGAAGCACAAAACUGUGAACAACACUUUAGACUACUCAGUUGCCCCUAACAGUAUAACUUUGCAACAAUACUUUUUCUCAUUCAUUAGCCGAAUAAAGAGUUAAAACCUAAUUUUAGAUUGUUCCUAUUAUGCCCAAAAGUGUAAAUUUGCGAAAAAUCGAUUGUCAAUGCUCUAAAGGAACCAAAAUCGCCGAACAACAAUAGAACUACUCAGUUGCGCCAUAAUGUAUAACUUUGCAACAAUAGCCCUUUUUCUCAUUCAUCGAACAAGUGUGGUAAAAGUAUUCCUAUUAUGCGCCGCGAGUAGUGUAAAUUUGUGGAACGAAUCGAUGUUAACGUUCACAAGGAACACAAUCCGGAAGACGUUUUAGACUACUAUAGUUUGAGCCCUAACAGUUUAACUUUUGCAACUAGUACUUUUUUUCAUUCAAUCGAACAAGGAGCAACAACUAAUUAUAUUAUUACUAUUUUGCCCCGAGAGUGAAAUUUGACACGAAUCGAUGUCAACGUUCCAAGAACCAAAACAGAACACAUUAGACUACUCUUGUUGGCCGCCAUAACAGUUAUAACUUUGCAACGAUAGUACUUUUUCUCAUUCUAUCGAACAAGGAGUUAAAAGCUUUUUCUAUUAUGCCCGAGAGUGUUAAAUUUGGAACGAAGUCGAUGGUUCAACGUUCACAAGAACCAAAUAUCGGAACAACGUUAGACUUCUCAGUUUGAGCCUAAAUUUGAACAUUUGCAACUAGAUAACUUUUCUCAUUCAAAUUCGAAGAAAGUGUAUAAAAACCUAAUUUAUAUUCGUUCUAUUAUGCCCAGAGAGCUGUUAAAUUUGGAACGAUAUCGAUGUCAAAUUUCACAAGAAGCAAAACCGGAACCAACAUUAAAACUACUCAGUUUGCAUUGCCUAACAUAUAACUUUUGCCAAAGUACUUUUUCUCAUAUCAAGCCGAACACAAGAGUGUAAAGACCUAAUUUAAUUGUUCUUAUUCUGCGCCGCAGAGUGUAAAUUUUGGAACGAAGCCGAUGUCAAUGAUCGCUAAGACCAAAACCGGAAUAACAUUAGGACUACUUAGUUGCGCCAUAACAGUAGUAAUAAACUUAUCAACAAGCACUUUUUCCUAAUUCUAUCGAACAAAAGAGUAAAAGCUUUCUAUUGUACCCCGAGAGUGUAAAAUUUUGGGAACGAAUCGAUGUCAACGUUCAGAAGAACCGAAAAUCGAACACGUGAUUAGAUACUUAGGUAGCAGCACCUUAGACAGUUUAACUUUGCAACUGAGUACUUUUUCUAUUCAAUUCGACAAAGGAGUAAAACCUAAUGUAUAUUAUUCUAUAUUUGCCGCCGAGUGUGAAAAUUUGGAAUGAAUCGAUUCCAAUCCGUUCACAAAACCAAACGUGAACAAUAUUAGACUAACUACAGAUUGCGCCACAACAGUAUACCUUUUGCAGGAGACUUUUACUCAUUUAUCAAACAAGAGUAAAGCUUUCUAUUUUGCUCCGAGAGAAUGUAAAAUUUGGAACGAAUCCCAUGUCAACGUUCACAAGACCCAAACCGGAACAACAUUUAGACUUCUCAGGUUGAGCCAUAAUUGUCAUAACUGUGCACAAGCACUUUUUCUCAUGUCUAUCGAACAAGGAGUAAAAGCUUUCAUUAUGCCCGAGAGUGUAAAUUGGAACGAAUCGUGAUGAUCAACGUUCACUAAGACCAAACCGCCGAACAACGUUAGACUUCUCUAAUUGGGAGCCCUACGCUAUAACAUUGCAGCUACGGUAUUUUUCUCAAUUUCAAUGAACACCAAGCAGUAAAAAACCUAUUAUAUUGUUCUAUUUAUGUCCCAGAGAUUGUGUAUAAUUUGGAACGAAAUCGCAUGUGAAACUUUUCACAAAGAAGCAAAACCGGAACAACAGUAGACUACUCAGUUGCGCCUAACACUAUAAACUUUGCAACAAGUACUUUUUCUCAUUUCAAACGAACAAAAGAGUAAAAACCUAAUUUAAUUAUCGUUCUAUUAUGCCCUCGAGCAGUGUAAAUUUGGAACAAUCGAUGUCAAUGGUCAACAAGAACCAAAACCGCGAACUCAUUUAGACUACUCAGUUGCUGCCAUAACUGAUGAUAAUUUGCAACAAGCACGUUUUUCUCAUUCUAUUUAAACAGGAAGUAAAGCUUUUGUUAUGUCCCGAGUUGGUAGUUGUAAAUUGGAACGACAUCGAUAGUCACGUCUCAGAAGAACCAGAAACCGGACACGUCGUUUGUGGUUAGACUAAUUAGAUUGAGCCCUAAUAGGUUUAAACUUGCAACUAGUACUUUAUUCUCAUUCAAUCGAACAAGAGCAAACUUAAUUUAUAUUAUUUCUAAUGUUGCCCGAGAGUGAAUUUUGGAACGAGAUCGGAGUCAACGUUCACUAGAACCAAAACGCGCGAAAACAGUAAUACUCAGUUGCCGCAGUUAUAACAGGUUAACUUUUCAACCGAGCAUUUUUCUCAUCUAUAGAACAAGGAGUAAACGUUUUCUGAUUAUUGCCGCAGAGAUGUAAUAGGAACGAAGAUCGACGUCAGAGUUCACAGAACCAAACCGGAACAACGUUAAUUCUCAGUUUGAGGCCUAAAGUAUAACUAUGCAACUAGUACUUUUUCUUCAUUCAAUCGAACAAAGAGUAAUAAAAACCUAAUUGAUUUUGUUGCUAUUAUGCCCUCGAGAGUAAAUUUUUUGAACGAUCGAUGUCAAUUUCACAGAAGCAACGGACACAACUAGCCUACUAAGUUGCGCCCCCUAUAGGCCUAACAGAUUAUAACUUUAGUUUUUUUUGUUUUUUUUUUUUUUUUUUUUCAUUUUUUUUUUUUUUUUUUUUUUUUUUUUUUUUUUUCUUUAUUUUUUUUUUUUCUUUUUUUUUUUUUUAUCCCAUAGCUCAUAGUACUUUCUCAUUCACUGACAAAGAGUAAACAUAAUUAAAUUGUUCUAUUAUGCCCCCGAGAGUGUAAAUUUUGGAACGUGAAUUCGAUGUCAAUGUUCACAAAACAAAACCAGAACAAUAUUAGGAUACUCAGUUUGAGCCAUAAUUGUAUAACUUUUGCAACAACUCUCCUUUGGUUCUCAUUCUAUCGAACAAGUUAGUAGAAAGAUUUCUAAUAUGCCCGAGUGCUGUAAAUUCUGGAACGAAACGAUGUCACUGUUCACAAGAACCAAACCGGAACACGUUUGACUACUUAGUUGAGCCUACAGUUUUAAUUUGCAACGAGUGACUUUUCUCAUUCAUCGAACAAAGACGGAAAACUAAUAUAAUCUAUCUAUUUUGCUACGAUGAGUGAAAUUUGAACGAAGUCGUGAUGUCAACGUUCACAAGAACCAAAUACCGAGCAAAAAACAUUAGAUACUCAGUCUGCGCUUAUUGACAGACUAUAACUUGCAACGAGUAACGUUUUCUCAUUCUAUCGAACAGGAGCACAGAAGUUUCUAUUUAUGCCGAUGAGUGUAAAUUUGAACGAUCGAUGUCAAACUGCUUCGCAAGUCCAAACCGUGAACAACUCUUUAGGCUCUCCAGUUUGAGCCCUAACGUAUAACAUUGCCCCAACUAGUAUUUUUCUCAUUCAAUGUGCAAGGUAAAAACCUAUUUAUUGUGUAUUAUGCCCUGGAGCAGUGUAAAAUUGGUGCAACGAAUCGAUGUCAACGUUACAAGAUACCGAAACCGGAACAACAUUUAGACUCACUCAGUUGCGCUAUAACAGCAUAACUUUUGCAACGAGUACUUUCUCAUUCUAUUCGAACAAGGAAUAAACGUCUUAUCUAUAUGCUUCGAGAGUGUAGAAUUGUAACGAAUUCGGACGUUCAACGUUCACAAGACAAAAAACCGGAACAAACAACGUUAGAGUUCUCAGUUGAGCCCUAACAGUAUAACAUAGCAACUGUACUUUUUCUCAUUACAUCGAACAAAGCAGUAGAACCUAAUUAUAUGUUGUAUUUAUGCCCGGAGUAUAAAUUUGCGAACGAAAUUGAUGUCAACAUUCACAGAAGCAAAAACCGCGCAACAGCACUAGGACUACCUCAUGUUCGGCUUCCUAACAGUUAACCUUGUGCAGCAAGUACUUUUUUUCAUCAACUGAAACAAUGGAGUAAAACAUAAUUAAAUGGUCUAGUUAUGCCCGAGAGUGUAAAUUUGGAACGAAUUCCGAUGUCAAUGUUCACAAGAACAAAACCGAACAAUAUUAUGACUAUCAGUUUGCAGCCCAUAUAUUGUAUAACUUUGCAACAAACUCGUUUUUCUUCAUUCUAUCGAAAAGUUAGUUAAAAGAUUGUAUUAUGCCUUUCCGAGUGCUGUAAAUUUGGAACGGAAUCAGUGUUCAACUGUCACCAAGAACCACAAACGGGACAACGUUUAACAACUUAGUUGAGCAACCUAAGUUUAACUUUUAGCAACUAUACUUUUUUUCAUUUCAAUCGAACAAAGAGGCAACCUAAUUUAUAUUAUCUAUUUUGCCCGUAGAUGAUGUGAAAUUUGGAACAAUCGAUCGUCAACGUUCACAAGAACCAAAACCAUGGGUAAAAAACAUUAGACUAACUCAGUCAGUGCUUUUGACAGUAUAAUUUGCCAACGUGCAGUAGCUUUUUUCUCAUUCUAAUCUCGAAACAAGGAGUUAAAGCUUUUCUAUUAUGCCCCGAGGGGAGUGUAAUUUGGAAACGAAUCUGAUGUCAACGUGCGCAAUACCAAAACCGCGAAAACCUUUAGGUUCUCAGUUGCAGCCUAACAGUAUACAGUGCAAUAGUACUAUUUUGCUAAUUCAAUUGUACAAAGAGUAAAAACCUAUUAUAUUGUUGUAUUUAUGUACCCGGAGAGUGUAAAUUGGGAAACGAAAAAUUCCGAUUGUCAACGCUCCACAAGAACCCAAAACCGGGAACAACAUUUAGACUAUCAGCUUGCCGCAAUAUAACAGCAUAACGUUUUGCAACUGAGUUACUUUUUCUCUUCCUAUCGAACAAGGAAAUAAAUUUUCUAUUAUGCCCCGAAGAGUGUAAUUCUGCGAAAUCGAAUCGACAGUAACGUUCACAAGACCAAAUACGUUUAAACAACGUUAGACUUCUCAGUUGAGCCCUAACAGGUUAUAACAUGAACUGUACUUUUUCUCAUAUCAAUCGAAUCAAAGAGGUGAAACCUAAUUAUAUUGUUGUAUUAUGCCCCGAGAGAGUUAUAAAUGUUGGAGACGAAUUGAUGUUCAACUUUCACAAGAAGGCAAAAGCCGGAACAGCACUUAGACUACUCAGUUGCGCCGCCUAACGUAUAACUUUUUCUGCACAAAGUACUUUUUCUCAUCAGCCGCCAAAAGUAGUUAAAAUAAUAUUUGUUAUAUUUAUGCCUCCGGAGAUGUAUAAUUUGAACGGAAUCGAUAGUCAAUGUUCACAAGAACCAAACGGAACAACAUUAGCUAACUCAGUGAGUCCAUAAUUGUAAAACUUUGCAAACAAGCUCUUUUUCUCAUUCUAUCGAACGAAGUGUAAAGCUUUCUGAUAUGCCAGAAGUGUAAUUGAAACGAAUCGAGGUCAACGUUCACCAGAACGAAACAGGAACAACGUUUGACUACUUAGUCUGAGCCUAACACUUUGACUUUUGCAAACUAGUACUUUUUCUUAUUCAAUCGAACAAGAAGCAAAACCUUUAAUUAUAUUAUUCUAUUUUGCCGGAGAGUGAAAUUUUGGAACGGAAUCGAUGUCAACGUUCCACAAUGAACCAAAACCGGAACAAUCAUUUGAACUACUCAGGUUGCGCUAUACAGUAUUAAGCUUGCAACGAGUACUUUUUACUCUUCUAUCUUCGAACAAGGUAGUAAAAGCUUUCUAUUAGUGCCGAGAGUGUAAAUUUGGAACGAAUCGAUCUCAACGUGCACAAGAACCAUAACGCGGGAACAACGUUAGACAUUCUCAGUUACGUCCGUAACUGGUAUAAUAUUGCUAACUAGUACUUUUGUCCUCGAUGAAAAAGAGUAGAAAACCUAAUUAUAUUGUUGUUUACGCCCCGGAGUAUAAAAUUUUGGAACGAAACGAUUGUCACUUUCGACAAGAAGGAAAACAAGGAAUAACCAUUAAACUACUUAAUUAGCCGCGCUACAGAUAUAACUGUGCCCAACAAGUACUUUUUUCUUCAUUGACCGAACAAAGAAUAAAACUUAUUAAAUUGUUCAUCAUUAUGCCUUCGUAGUGCUUGUUAAAUGUUGGAACGAAUCUGAUGUCAAUGUGUCACAAGAAACACCGGUAACAAACAUUAGACUACUUUAGUUGCCGCCAUAACUGUAAACUUAUCAGACAAUCACUUUUUCUUAUACUAUUCGAAACAAACAAAGACUGUAAAAGCUUUCUAUUUAUACCGCGAAGAGUGUAAAUUUGGAACGAUCGGAUGUCAACUUCACAAGAACCAAAACCGGACAACGUUUAGAUCUCUCAGUUGAGCCGUCUAACGUUUAACUUUGCAAACUAGUACUUUUUCUACAUUCAAUCAGAACAAAGGCAAAACAAUAUUUAUUAAUUAUUUUGCCCCGCAAGAGUGAAAUUGGAACGUAGAUCGAUGUCAACGUCUCACAAAACACAAAAACCGGCAACAGACAUUUGAACUACUCGUUGCGCCAUAACAGUAUACUUUGCCAACGAAGUACUUUUUUCAUUCUCUAUCGAAACAAGGAAGUAAAAGCUUAUGUCAUUAUACCGUGAGAGUCUGUAAAAUUUGGAACGAUCAUGUCAACGUUCACAAAACCAAAACCGGACAACCUGUUAGACUUCCUCAGUUGAGCGCCAUAAACAGUAUAACAUUGCAAUAGUACUUUUUUCAUUUCAAGUCGAAAAGAGUAAAAACUUAUUUCAUAUUGUCUGCUUAUUAUGCCCCGAUAAGUGCUAAUAUUUGCGACACGAACGUAUUCAACUUUCACAAGAAGCACAAACUUGAACACACUUAGAAUUACUCGUUGCCGCAUAAAUUAUACGACUGCCUAACAUAUAACUUAUGCAAUAAGUAACUUUUCUCAUUCUAUCGAACAAUAGGUUUAAAGCUUUUUAUUAUGGCCCCUUAGAGUGUAAAAUUAUGGAACGAAAAUCGGAUGUAACGCUUCAAAAGAACCAAAAUCGGAACAACAAUUGACUACUUCAGUUGCGCCAUAAACUGUCAUAUUUUUGCAACAAGCACUUUUAUUCUCAUUCUUAGUCAGAACCAUAGGUUUAAAAGCUUUCUAUUAUUGUCCCUAGAGUGUAAAUUGUGGAACGAUAUUGCGAUGUCAACGUUUCACAAGAUACUAAAACGGAAACAACGUGAGCACUACUUAAGUUGAGCCCUAACAGUUUAAUUAUUGCAAGUAGCUACUUUUUUCAUUCAGUCGAACAUUAGAGCAAAACCUAAUUAUAUUAUACUAUUUUUGCUCCCCAGAGUGAAGAUUUGGCACGAAUCGAUGCCAACGUUCACAAGAACAAAACCCCGGAACAACUUAGACUACUCAGUUGCGGCCAUAACAGUCAUACUUGCAACGAGCACUUUUUCUCAUUCAUCGAACAAGUCGAAAGUAAAAGCUUUCUAUGUUAUAUGCCCGACGAGAGUGUUAAAAUUUGGAACGAAUCGAUAGUAACGUAUCACCAAGAACCAAAUCGGAUGAAGCAACGUAGACUUCUCAGGAGCCCUAACAGGGUUUAACAUUUGCCAAACUAGUACUUUUCUCAUUCAAUCUGAAAAAAGACGGUAAAAAAACCAAUUAUAUUGUUCUAUUAUCGCAGAGCAGAGCAAAUUGUGGAACUCGAAUCGAUGUGCAAAUUUCCACAAGAAAGCAAAAACUCGAACAACAUUAACUACUCAGUUAGCGCCCUAACAGUAUAACUUUGCAACAGUAUUUUUUUUUUUCAACCGAACAAGUGUAAAACCAAUUAAAUUGUUCUUAUUAUGCCCGAGAGUGUUAAUUAAUGGAACGAAUCGCAUGAUCAAUGUUACCGAAGACAAAAUCGGCGAACAACAUUAGCACUACUUAGUUUGCGCCUAUAAUAGUUUAUCUUAGCAACAAGCCUUUCCUCUUUCUAUCGAACAAAGAGUAAAAGCUUUUUAUUAUUACCCCAAGAGUUAAAAUUUGCGUAACGAAUCGAUGUCAACGUUCACAAGAACAAAAUCGGAACAACGUUAGGAACUACUUGUUUGAGCCAAACAGUCAUCUAACUUUGCAAUGAUACGUUUAUCUAUUCAAUCGACAAAGAUGCAAAUCCUAAUGCUAUAUUAUUCUAUUUUGCCUCUGAGUAUGGAAAUUUGGUACGAAUCGGAUAUUGUAGUUCACAAGAACCAAAACCGAACAACGUUAAUUCUCAGUGAGCCCUAACAGUAUAACAAUUGGCCCCACUAGUACUUUUCAUUCCAUCGAACAAAGAUGGUAAACCUAAUUAAUAUUGUUUGUAUUCUUCCCCGGAGCUAGUAUAAAUUUGGAACGACAUCGCGAUGUCAACUUUCACAAGAAGGCAAAACUCCUGAACAACACAUAGACUAUCAGUUGCGCCCCUAACAGAUGAUUAACUUUCAACAUAGUUCUUUUUUCAUAUCAACCGAACAAGAGUAAAACAUAAUUAAUUGUUCUAUUAUUGCCCCGAGAGCUGUAAAUUCGAACACUUCAGAUGUCAAUGUUCACAAGAACAAAACACGCGAACAACAUAUAGGAAUACUCGAUGAGCAUAAUUGGUUAACUUAUGCAAAUGCUCUUUUUUUCAUUCAUAUCGAACAAGGUGAAAAGCUAUUCUAUUUCAUGCCCCUGAGAGUGUAAAUUUGAAGAUAUUCGAUGUCAACGUUCAAACAGACCAAAACCGCGAACAAGUUUGACUACUUAGGUUGAUCGCCUAACAGUUUAACUUUGGCAUAGUACUUUUUUCAUUCCAAAUCGAACAUAAGAGCAAACCUAAUUAUAUUUUCUAUUUGCCCCGGAGAGUGAAAUUUGAACGAAUCGAUCUGUCGACGUUCACAAAAAGCACAAAACUGGAAGCAACAUUAGACUACAUCAGUUGCCGCUAAUAACUUAGGUUAACUUUGGCAACAAGUACUUUUUCUCAUUCUAUCGAACAAGGAGUAAAAGCUUCUAUUAUUGCCACGAGAGUGUCAAUUUGAAAACGAAUCCGAUGUCAAGUUCACAAGAAUCAAACCGGACAAUACAUUAGACUUCUCAGUUUGAGCCCUAACUGAAACAGUUGUAACUACUUACAUUUUCUCAUUCAAUCGUACAAAGAGUAAAACCUAAUUAUAUUGAUCUAUUAUGGCCCAGAGAGUGUAAUGCUUAGGAACGAAUCGAUAUCAACUUUUCCACGAAGCAAAACCGGAAUAAAUGUAGACUACUCAGCUUGCGCUUGGUACACUAGUCCUAAACGUAUAAACUUGCAACAAGUACUGUUCUGCAUUCAACCGAACAUAAGAGUAAAACCUAUUAAAUUGUUUUUAUGCUCCGAGAGGUGUAAAUUUGAAAACGGAAUCUGGAUGUUCAAUGUUCACAAAACCAAACCGAACAACGUUUGAGACACUUAGUUGCGCGCUAACUGUAGUAUAACUAUUGCAACAAUCACUUUUUAUCAUUCUAUCGAAACAAGACAGUAAAUGUCUUUAUUAUUCCGAGAGUGAUAAUUUGGAACGAUAUCGAUGUCAAUGUUUCACGCAUAAAGGAACCAUAUACCGGCAACAACUGUUAGACUACUUGUUGAGCAUACCUAACAGACUUUAACUUUGGCAACUAGUAACUUUUUUCAAUUCAUCGAACAAAAGCUAAAAACCUAAUUAUAUUAUUCCAUUUUUGCCCGAGAUGAGUGAAUUGGAACGAUCGAUGUCAACGUUCUAACAACACAAAACCGGAACAACAUUUAGGACUACUCGAGAUUGCGCAUUAACAGUGAAUAACUUUUGCAACGAGUACUUAUUCUCAUUCUAUCCGGAAAAGGAAGUAAAGCUUUCUAUUAGCCUAGUGUGUAAAUUUGGAACGAAUCGAUGUCAACUGUUCGCUAAAGAACCAAAACCGAACAACGUUAUGACUUUUCUCAGUGAGGCCCUGAACAGAUAAUAACGAUUGCAAUUAGGGUACUUUUUAUCAUUCAUUCGAACAAAGAUCUACAUAAUUAUAUUGUUAUAUUAUGCCACGAGAGUAUUUAAAUUUGGAACCGGAGUAUCGAUGUCAACUUUCACAAGAAGCAAAACUUGAAACACAUUAAACUACUCAAGUUGCCGCGCCUAACAGUUAUAACUUUGCAACAAAGUACUUUUUCUCAUUCAACCGAACAAAGAGUAAAAAACCCUAAAUUAAAUUGUUCCUUAAUUAUGCCCGAGAGUUGUAAAUUUGGAACGAAUCGAUGUCAUAGUUCAAAGAAACAAAACCGGACCAUAGACUACUAGAUUGCCACAUAACGCGUAUAAGCUUACAACAAGCCCACUUUUUUCUCAUUUCUAUUCGAACAAAGAGUAAAAGCUUUUAUUUAUAUUCUAUUAUGCCCCGAGAGUGUAAAUUUGGAACGAAUCGAUGUCAACGUUCACAAGAACCAAAAUCGGAACAACGUUAGACUUCUCAGUUGAGCCCUAACAGUUUAACAUUGCAACUAGUACUUUUUCUCAUUCAAUCGAAAAAAGAGUAAAAACCAACUUAUAUUGUUCUAUUAUCCCCAGAGAGAGCAAAUUUGGAACGAAUCGAUGUCAAAUUUCACAAGAAAGCAAAACCGGAACAACAUUAAACUACUCAGUUGCGCCCUAACAGUAUAACUUUGCAACAAGUACUUUUUCUCUUUCAACCGAACAAAGUGUAAAACCUAAUUAAAUUGUUCUAUUAUGCCCCGAGAGUGUAAAUUUGGAACGAAUCGAUGUCAAUGUUCACAAGAACCAAAAUCGGAACAACAUUAGACUACUUAGUUGCGCCAUAAUAGUAUAACUUUGCAACAAGCACCUUUCCUCUUUCUAUCGAACAAAGAGUAAAAGCUUUCUAUUAUACCCCAAGAGUGUAAAUUUGGAACGAAUCGAUGUCAACGUUCACAAGAACCAAAAUCGGAACAACGUUAGACUACUUAGUUGAGCCAUAACAGUCUAACUUUGCAACUAGUACGUUUUCUCAUUCAAUCGAACAAAGAGCAAAACCUAAUUAUAUUAUUCUAUUUUGCCCCGAGUAUGAAAUUUGGAACGAAUCGAUGUCAACGUUCACAAGAACCAAAACCGGAACAACGUUAGACUUCUCAGUUGAGCCCUAACAGUAUAACAUUGCAGCUAGUACUUUUUCUCAUUCAAUCGAACAAAGAGUAAAAACCUAAUUAUAUUGUUGUAUUAUGCCCCGAGAGUAUAAAUUUGGAACGAAUCGAUGUCAACUUUCACAAGAAGCAAAACUGGAACAACAUUAAACUACUCAGUUGCGCCCUAACAGUAUAACUUUGCAACAAGUACUUUUUCUCAUUCAACCGAACAAAGAGUAAAACCUAAUUAAAUUGUUCUAUUAUGCCCCGAGAGUGUAAAUUUGGAACGAAUCGAUGUCAAUGUUCACAAGAACCAAAACCGGAACAACAUUAGACUACUUAGUUGCGCCAUAACAGUAUAACUUUACAACAAGCACUUUUUCUCAUUCUAUCGAACAAAGAGUAAAAGCUUUCUAUUAUACCCCGAGAGUGUAAAUUUGGAACGAAUCGAUGUCAACGUUCACAAGAACCAAAAUCGGAACAACGUUAGACUACUUAGUUGAGCCCAAACAGUUUAACUUUGCAACUAGUACUUUUUCUCAUUCAAUCGAACAAAGAGAAUAACCUAAUUAAAUUAUUCUAUUUUGCCCCGAGUGUGAAAUUUGGAACGAAUCGAUGUCAACGUUCACAAGAACCAAAACGGAACAACAUUAGACUACUCAGUUGCGCCAUAACAGUAUAACUUUGCAACGAGUACUUUUUCUCAUUCUAUCAAAUAAGAAGUAAAAGCUUUCUAUUAUGCCCCGAGAGUGUAAAUUUGGAACGAAUCGAUGUCAACGUUCACAAGAACCAAAACCGGAACAACAUUAGACUUCUCAGUUGAGCCCUAACAGUAUAACAUUGCAACUAGUACUUUUUCUCAUUCAAUCGAACAAAGAGUAAAAACCUAAUUAUAUUAUUGUAUUAUGCCCCGAGAGUAUAAAUUUGGAACGAAUCGAUGUCAACUUUCACAAGAAGCAAAACCGGAACAACACUAGACUACUCAGUUGCGCCCUAACAGUAUAACUUUGCAACAAGUACUUUUUCUCAUUCAACCGAACAAAGAGUAAAACAUAAUUAAAUUGUUCUAUUAUACCCCGAGAGUGUAAAUUUGGAACGAAUCGAUGUCAAUGUUCAAAAGAACCAAAACCGGAAUAACAUUAGACUACUCAGUUGAGCCAUAAUUGUAUAACUUUGCAACAAGCUCUUUUUCUCAUUCUAUCGAACAAGGAGUAAAAGCUUUCUAUUAUGCCCCGAGAGUGUAAAUUUGGAACGAAUCGAUGUCAACGUUAACAAGAACCAAAACCGGAACAACGUUUGACCACUUAGUUGAGCCCUAACAGUUUAACUUUGCAACUAGUGCUUUUUCUCAUUUAAUCGAAGAAAGAGCAAAACCUAAUUAUAUUAUUCUAUUUUGCCCCGAGAGUGAAAUUUGGAACGAAUCGAUGUCAACGUUCAGAAGAAUCAAAACCGGAACAACAUUAGACUACUCAGUUGCGCCAUAACAGUAUAACAUUGCAACGAGUAUUUUUUCUCAUUCUAUCGAACAAGGAGUAAAGCUUUCUAUUAUGCCCCGAGAGUGUAAAUUUGGAACGAAUCGAUGUCAACGUUCAUUAGAACUAAAACCAGAACAACUUUAGACUACUCAGUUGCGCCAUAACAGUAUAACUUUGCAACGAGUAUUUUUUCUCACUCUAUCGAAUAAGGAGUAAAAGCUUUCUAUUAUGCCCCGAGAGUGUAAAUUUGGAACGAAUCAAUUUCAACGUUUGCAGGAACCAAAACCGGAACAACGUUAGACUACUUAGUUGAGCCCUAAUAGUAUAACUUUGCAACUAGUACUUUUUCUCAUUCAUUCGAAUAAAGAGCAAAACCUACAUAUAUUGUUCUAUUUUGCCCCGAAAGUGUAAAUUUGGAACGACUCGAUGUCAACGUUCACAAGAACCAAAACCAGAACAACAUUAGACUACUCAGUUUCGCCAUAACAGUACAACUUUGCAACGAGUAUUUUUUCUCAUUCUUUCGAUCAAGGAGUAAAAGCUUUCUAUUAUGCCCCUAUAGUGUAAAUUUGGAACGAAUCGAUAUCAACGUUCACAAGAACCAAAACCGAAACAACAUUAGACUUCUCAGUUGAGCCCUAACAGUAUAACAUUGCAACUAGUACUUUUUCUCAUUCAAUCGAAUAUGGCAUAAUGCCUAAUUAUGUUGUUCUAUUAUGCCCCGAGAGUGUAAAUUUGGAACGAAUCGAUGUCAACGUUUACAAGAACCAAAACCGGAACAACAUUAGACUACUCAGUUGCGCACAACGAGUACUUUUUCUCAUUCUAUCGAACAAAGAGUAAAGCCUAAUUAAAUUAUUCCAUUAUGCCCCGGGAGUAUAAAUUUGGAACGAAUCGGCACCUUGGUAUAUAUAGAGCUUUUAGGGUUUUUGAUCCACCUAACCCUAACCCUAGCCCCCAACUGCCCUAGCCGCACCCUACCACCUUUAUCCCUCUUCCCUACUCUAACCGUACGCCUCCCGGCCGCCACCGACUGAUCAUUGGCCAGCCACCACCACCUCAGCCUCUUUCUCUCACUCUCCACCUCUAUCUCUCUCUUCCUCUCAGGUUGAGGAUAGAUCUAUGACCGCAUUUGCUUCCCUAUACCCUGCCAGCAUCCCUCCGACCUCGUCGGAAUCUCCCCCGCCGGCCACCGCCGCCUCGAGCGUCGCCGCUGCCUCCUAGGCCGGGUACGGCCACCCCGGAUCUGCUCGGGACGAGCAAACUUGGCAGCCUCUCCUUCGCGCUGCCGCCACCUUGGCUCGGCCCCGCCGCCUCGGCCAGCCCGCAGCCACCCCAGCCUGCUCGGGCCGAGCUUGGCCUGCUUCCGCCCCACGCGCCGCCGCCGCCCGGGGGCCACCUCCCUCCUCCUCCUCUGGCCUCUGGGGACCUGCCGCCGUCAUCCCCGAGGAGCCCCGGCCGCCGUCGUGGCCGUAGCUUCGCUGGAAUCCGAGCCCUAACUGGUGCGGGAUUGCCUUGUUCCGCCGCCGCCGCCGCCGCUUCCAGCCGCCACCCGAGGUGAGCUUGGUACUCUUCAUCUCCCCCGCAACCUUCCCUGGCCAGCACACCCCCCGCCGUGCCGCCGGUAGCCGGCCGGAGCAAGCUUGCUUCGGCCAAGCCCGAAAUAGGGCUUAUUCUGGAUGGUUUACUGUUCCGAGCAACCCGAGCCUCCCCGACCUCUACGGAAGGGAGCACGAUGAUCGUGGCAAAUUGCUGAUUAUCGUGCUCACCUUAGAUUCUGUCGGGGAGACUCCGUUUCACUGUUUUGGCGGUGUCAACCUCGUGGAGCCUUUUUGGCUGCUGUUUCUGGAUUGCGUGUGUUGUUCCGGUGAUCCGAGGCUGUUCUGAUGCCUCCGGAGGUGAGCACGGUGAUCGAUGGUCAGUGCUAAUCACAGUGCUCACCUCACUUUGGAUCAACAGUGCCCGGUUAGCCCUGUUUGGCGCGAUCUUCCCCGACUGCGCGCUGUUCGCUGAACCUUCGGGUUGCUCCCGCGCUUCCCACAGUGAGCCGUUGUGCUCCGGAUCGUGAGCACGGCCUACGGUACAUCGAUACCAAGCAGUACAUGUCUCGGCAGACCUUAGAAGUUCUCGGUUUGCAUGAACGAGCCACUUAAUCGCCCGAUUUACAUAAAAUGAUAGGAUUUUAUGUAAAUUGAGGGGCUUUGGUGCAAUUGUGCACCUUGUGGCUACUGUGGGUAGUGCAUGUGUGUGUGUGGUGACCUCUGGACUGAUUGUCCAUGAUCCGAUGCCUUCGCGGAAAUCGAGGAGUCGAUUCCGUCGCGUUUUUCGGCGAAAUUAGCCGAAAGAACGCGGUUUCGGUUCGUAUUUCUUCCGAUGUGGUUUGGUUAUCCUGUAAUUUAUUGCUGAGCCUUGUUGGCUGGUCAUCAUCAUCAUUUUGUGGGUUCGGUGAUGAUGGGUGAGCGACAGUGGGUUCCAGUGUCGAAAUAGACACUUUCCGGAACCUCGAUUCGUACAAUUAUCCGGCGAUAAUUGUGUAGUGGUGUUAUCUUGUGUUUGCUGCCGAAACAUCCAAAUUGGAGUGUUUUGGGGCAACAGGUGACUCGUGACCCGAGUCGGUGAGUUUCGGGACACUUAGUGGGUCCCGACGGCGUCCCGGUGUGGUUUUCGAGACUUCCGGCGAGUUACGGUAAUCGGUAUUGGGAAACCGAUCUUUGUGAAAUUGUUUGUGGGGUUGUGGAUACUAUGGUUAUUAGUUGUGGGUUAGAUACUAACCCGGUGGACCCUUUAUAGGUCCUGUCGACAUUCUUUUGCAGUCAGGAGACAGAUGCGACAUCCUUACAGGUGGGUACUUCGAUCCGAAGUCGGUAUAGUGGUGCACGCUCGGUGAUAUUCUUCUAUCCCUAUUCUCUUGUUAUUACUAUUGCGUAGUAUAGUAUAUUGAGCCUUGCACCCCUAUUGUUUACAUCUUACUCUACUCGCUGUUUGCAUGAUUAGUAUCUUGAGUAGGAGUAGAGUAGUUAUACCAUGUUUUCUUGUUGCUCUACUUAGCUAUUCUGCAUAUCCUGUAUCAUGUUUAGAGUAGAGCGGUUUCGUGAUUUCUUGUGAAAUCGGUGACCUAGUCGGUCGGUUCCUUGACUUCUGUCGUUCGAUGACCUAUGAGGUCGGUGUACCCUGAGGGGUAGGAUUGUCGGCUUGUGGCUGACGGUAGUUCCAGAUUAUAUUGAUACACUCUUGAGACCUAUUGGUCAGUUCUUGUAUUUAUAGUUUAGUUCACCCAUUGAGCAGUAUUUGUAUAUCUUUGAGAGGAUGUUGAGUUGUUCCAUUCUAGUUGACCUGAGUGGUGGGUUCUUGUACUUCCUUACAGUUGGAUGACCUUUUGGUCGGUUAGCCCCGAGGGGCGGUGAUUGUCGGCUGGUUGCCGACGGUUGGCUAUUGAUCAUAUCCGCAUUGAUCGCCACAGCUCGAGUGCAUUUCACGUACACCAGCGGGUUGAUCCCCCGCAGGAGGGUGUUCUUUUCCGGAAAAGUGGUCGUACAUUCGACCCAUGAGCCCAGCGGUGUUCUCUUUGUGCUAGGGUUACAUGCUAGGUGUGAGCAGGUAGUGGCUUUUGCCUGAGGUCCUUAGACCGACAUGGCGGUUUAGAUUGGAUACUUUUGGACUUCGCGUCGGGUUGACGCAUAUAACUAUAGUAGCGGUUGUUGCAUAUAUACUUACAGUUCUUUCUUUACAGUUGUCUUACCACUAUAGUUUUGAUAUCCUUGUAUACUUGCAGUUGUACAUUACAGUAGCGGUAGUUGUGCUUUCAUAUAUAUAUCUCAUUCGUUAAUUAUCGUUGCUACUGUAUUUCACUUACCCAUACUAUUAUUUAUCUCUUCCUAAUCCGGUGAGUACUCCUCGCCUUCUUCGGCUUGCGGUACCCACUGGGAGGGGAGACAUGUUUACAUGUUCUCACCUCCCCCACCAUUUUUCAGGUAUUGCGGGCGGUGCGGGUUGAGACGAGACGUGAGACACGUUCGUAGCAGUCGAUAGAGCUUCCGACCCGGUUUGUUGGUUUAGUUACUACCCUCUUUAUUUCUGUUGAUAUAUCUUAGACAUAUGGUUCAGUUGGUUUUGUUUACUUUGAUAUAUAUACACAUGGUUUUGUGAAAUUACAUAAAACACUCAUGGUUUUCAUGUAAAAUAUUGAAAAUAAUUUUCUACCCUUCGUGGUAGCGUUUAAAGAAAAAGGUUCCCGUGUGGAAAAUAGAUUUAAAAAAGGUUUUCGUGGAUUUAUGAUUAAACUCUAAAUGCAAAUCUGUUGUGAAUGGUGUAUGAAUGUAUAAAUGAUUAAAUAUUGUAUAUUCAUUUGUUGUGGUUGUAUCCUGGUUAUAUGUCUUGUACUUGUGCGACGCCGUGCAAAUACAGGGGAGACUCUGUCCGUGUGAAUAGUGGACUUCCUGUAUUUGUGGCGGAUCUGGCAUGCCCUGGGGGUCAGGUUUUCAAAAAAAAAUUUUGGACGCUUUCGCUAUGCAUUUAAACUAAAAAGGACCCCGGGGCGUGACAUGGACGCCGACCUCCUCCAAAUCUGUAGAACGCCGGUAAACGUGGCGCGAACGUACAACAUGAUGAGACAGUGAUCGGACAGCGAGCGUGUAAGGUACCGAACUUCUUAAAUUAUGAAGUUGCGGUGGGAUGUAAUAUUCUGAAAUUUUAAUAUAAAAAAUAAAUAUAAAUAAAAAUAGUGUGAGAUACUAUUUUAUUGGACUUAUAGACAUAGAAUAUAAGUCUGGAAUGACCCGUGUUGAAAUUAGAGCAAAAACAGAAGAUUUAGAAUUUUCUGUGUGAAACGGGGCAGAUAAAUUAGCAGAAAAUGCACGGUGUCAGAAAAUUCUGAAAACUGGAGGAUAAGCCAAAAUUAUUUUUAUGAGGCUAGGUUUAAAGUUUCAUAUCAUUCUGACACCCGAAAGGUGGAAAAUAAAAUCCGAUAGUGAUCUGAUAAAGAUUACAGUUCGGUACGGCUUUCGGUGACCAAACGGGGUCGAAACUGAAAUAUUAAAAUUUCUUUCGUUAAGUUAAGCAAAACCGAACAUGACUGUCAAAUUUGAGCUCCAACGGAUAUUCAGAGGGCUCCGGCGAAAGAUAUCAAAUUUCGAACUGCCUGAAGUGAAUAGUGUAUGCUACUAUUGGAGUGUUGACUAUAAGUAGAAGCUACUAGGCUUCUUCCUCUUCACAGCCGACCACCACCCCACACAAGCACACGUUCAUGGUGUAGUGAGUGAAACCCUCCCUUUUCUCUCUCUAAAUAUCUCUCUCAUCUCUCUAUAUUUCUCGCCCAAAUUCGCGGCGUUGGUGGAGAGCGAGUUUGCGAACGCGUUGGCAGCAACGGAUCGAGCUUUCGUGCGCCCGUUGGAGCGGCGUGCUUCCGUCUCGGCGUUCACAUUUUGGUAAACUUUUGGGAUUUGGCUUAAUCCUUAACCUUAAGCGUUCUAGUAGCCUCUAAUGAGCAUUCUUAGCAUGUUGCUCCAUUUAAUUUGGAUUAUUUGGGGGUAAUUGCAUGUUAGGGCUCAAAAAUGGAAUUUUGCAAUACGUGAGGGUUUGAUCUAAAUUGAUCAUGUAUAAACCUAAUUGCUAGGUUUUCUGAUGCAUUGGCGAAGUCGAUUCGGCAAUACGACGAGCGUACGCAAAGAUAUUAAAGAACAAAGCCGUUAAGGUACAGAUUGCCGCAGCUCGCGGCGAAAGCUUCCAAAAAUCAUGAAAUCGGAAUCCUAGCCUCGUGAUAGCGAUAAAAGGUGGGGGGUGUCAUCCCGAUGCAACUGGGCUUCUCCCUAUGUCUAAGUAUUUCUAUGUUGAACAUACUAUAUAUAUAGUAUCAUGCAUGUUAGGGUAUUUAGAUGUUACUUUUACUAUUCUUGCAUGCUCCCUUGUAUUGCGGCAUAGUAGGCUUGGCAUGUGAACUUAGGGUGCAUGAGAAUGAGUUUGUGACAUAGAACCCUAUAGAGAUAAGUUAAACAAUAACUUGAUCUUGCAUAGAGGAUAUAUGACUAGUAUAGUCGGGACAAUUGCAUUAUGGCAAGUGACAUGUGAACCAAGUACAUACUUGACGAGUGGCAUAUGUGUACCAAGUAAACAACUUGACGAGUGGCAUUAGAACGUAGUGUUAAAAGAACACUUGUGCAUGUUGGUCAUAGUGACCGGGUACCUUCGUUGGAAACGGAUUUGAUCAUACUCACACAGUCUGUUCAGCGCUUGUGGCGGUAGCUCCGCACAAGUAGUGCGAGCUCCGGAGUCUUGGCACGUGAAACGAUUGGGAUAGCCUAUGUGGGGUCCCAAGGGAUAGCCUAUGUGGGGUCCCGCAGAUAAUCCCUCGGGUGGUUCGAGUCCCCCUUCAUAGACGGAUUUGAGUUGUGAGUCGAGGGCGCGCCUUUGGGCCAGCCAGACGAUUGGGUGAUGAACUCAAGAGAAUUAUGCACAUUGAGCAUAGUAAGCAUAUUGAGCAUGUUGAGCAUGUUGGGCAUAGUAGAAUUGCAUGUAUACUUGAUAGAGUUAUUAUAGCAUGUUAGAGAUUACAUGGCUAUGUGAUUUACUCUUGUUCUCCAGGCAUAGUAGAACCUUGCAAUUCUUUCUAUAUGCAUCAAUUACAGUUACAAAUAUCUAUCUAUCUGCUUAUGCCUGCUUAGACCUAGUGGGAAGAUCGGCGGAGUCGGCGGCCGAACCCACUGGGAACUAUAUUUAAUAGUUCUCACCCCGUGUGGUUUUGGGGUACAGGUACACACAGAGGCGAGCCAAGCGAGGACCGCGGCAAGGGCAUAGCGCCCUAAGUGAGCCUAGUUAGUAGCUUUUCCUUUAUGCAUUAGAGUACCCUCGUGUACUAGAGAAUGUUUUGGAUAGUUAUGAGAGGGCUACUUAUAUUUUGAAGAAACAUGUACUUACAUUUUGGAAGAUGAAAAUGUAAUAUAUCAAAGAUGUAAAAAUAGAAUGUGAAGUAAUAGCUAGAUGUAUCUCUCUUUAUGCACUUGUAUGUAUACUUGUGUUACUUGCUCUUGUUGUAUUGCACUCUUUGUGCUUCUCUCCUUGUUGGAUCGUGUAUGUAUUGAAUUAUUCCUGGGCAAUUCUAUGUACAUGAUCUUACUUUUGAGCCUUGGGCGGACAGGGGAGGUGCUGUCCGUCCGGCGUCUGUUCGACGCGCCCGAACCGGACCAAAUUGGUAGCGGUCUCGGGGCGUGACAGAUAAAUGUGGUAUCAGAGCAAGUUAAGAGCAAGUAAAAAGAGAGAGUCUAGGACGACCUAGGAGACCCUAGGACGGUAAACCUUAAGGCUAUAGGUGCGUGAGUGAAACGUGAACCUAAGCCGAGUGGCGGAAGAUAAUUCGAUUGGGUUGAAGUUGUCACUAUGUCUCUAGUUGUGAAUAGAGACGGAUUCAAGUGGUAUUAGUUCUUGGCUUGAAGUGAGAGUGUUGGCGGCCGACAACAUGAUACCGAGAGUCUAGAAUGAGUACAUUUGUGUGCUUCCGCCUGAUUUUAAUGUUGGGUUGCAUCAGUCGUGAUCGUGAUAAUGCUGAUGGGUUAAGUUAAUUGACCCGUUUGUUGCGUUUCAGGAACUAAUAUUUCCAAGACGCUACGCACGCAGGACGGUUCCAGCACCGCCUCCCGAGGUGCCAGAGCAAGCUGGACCUCCUCUGGUGCCAGAGUCGUCUAAUCCUAGUGAGGUGUAAGAGCUACGGGCUCAGAUGACUGCAUUGACUGGUCGGUUUGAUCGGCUCCAGGAGCUAAUGGAGAGGCAGAUUGCUGCGACGGCUGCAGCGGCAACUGAAGGUCGUGAUCCGCCUGCACCCUCGGUGCGCGUGCCUGAGGCGGCGGAGGGUGAGGGCGAAGCGGCAGUCCCGGUGGCGGCAUGUUCCCCGCCUGCGAAUGUGCUCCCGGCGGCUUCGAGUUCGGCAACACCAGAUGCAGCGGCCGAGGAGAUGGAGCGGGAGCGCGCCUUGAUGGCUCUUAUAAGAUUCAAGAAGUUCAACCCGCCAAUCUUCGAAGGAGAGAAGGUGGAGCCGUCGAUGGUCGAGUCAUGGAUUGACUCAAUGGAAACCCUUUUCGAGGAUCUCUACACCUCGGAAAAGGACAAGGUGAGCCUCGCCACCCAUUGCCUCGAGAAGACAGUGAUGGUGUGGUGGAAACGAGUGAAACGAGAUCGGCCUUCUGAUCUUCUACCUAUGAUGUGGGAAGAGUUCAAGAGGGCGAUGUUCGCCAACUAUUUCCCGGAUACGGUGAAGCGAAAGUUGCAGGAGAAGUUUCGCACACUGAGGCAGGGAGAUCGCUCGGUAGCAGAAUACGAGCAAGAGUACUCUCGUAUUAUUGACUGUGUCCCGGAGGUUGUCAGAGAUGACCGGGACCGGGCGGAUUGGUUCUUACGAGGACUCCGGCCUGGAAUCUACAGGGCCGUACAGUUGUUCAAGCUCACAACCUUUGCUGAGGUCUUUGAUAGAGCAUUGUGGGCAGAGCAUGGGGAUGCCCACGUGCGAGAAGAACGUGAGCUGAUGGCUGGAUCUAAAGACAAAGGAAAGAAACGUCAAGGCGGUGGUUCGGGGGGACAAUCGAGUUCCAAGAAGCCACCGAAGCACCCGCACACACAGUCGUGGAGUUGAGGGACGCAACAAUGCGCUAUCUGCGGUGGCGGGGGUCACAGAGCGCAGCAGUGUAGGCAACGCCAAGGCAAGUGCUAUAACUGUGGGCAAGAAGGGCACUUGAGCCGUGACUGUCCAGCGAGGGCCCCGCCUAUCCCAUCAGUUGCAUCGACUCCGGCGACUCCAGCACAUUAUGGAGGAGCCCCACCUACUGCGUCAUCGGCUGGACGUGCGAUGGUGCCACGUCAACCUGAGGCGACUAAAUCGGCUCCGAGCGGACGGGUGUUCGCCGCUCAGACUCAAGCCAAGGAACCUGCCGAGACGGAGGAUCGACAUGUGCUCGCAGGUAUGAUUUUAAUUGACAAAGUUCGCUCCAGGGCUAUGUUUGAUAUAGGUGCUACUCAUUCAUUCAUCAGUAGAUCAUUUGCACGCAUGCGUACCAUAGAGCUGCAAGAGAGUAAAAGCACUUGGAGAGUAUCGGGCCCCGGACGAGAUUUUCUGGUCCGUAUGGAGUGUUCGUCUUGUCCGGUACGGUUGGGUGACUGGAUAAUGCCCAUCCGUAUGUUGGUGUUCAAGAAGUUGAAAAACUUCGACGUUAUUCUGGGAAUGGAUUGGCUCUCGAAGUACUAUGCAACCAUUCACUGCAGAAGUAAAGUGAUCACGUUUCGAGAGCCGGGUCAGGAGGAAUUCACCUACCUGGCUUGUAGAAGCUCGCGUUUCGCUGCUAUAGUGUCGGCGACGAGGGCAAGGAAGUUGAUUAACAGCAGUUGUCACGCCCCGGGACCGGCGGAGGCCCUCCCGGUAGCGUGCCCAGACCCGCCAUAUGUCUACACAUAUAAGGCGUCUACAAGAAAAGCGGAAGUAAAAGCAAGAGAUGUAACAAAUAAGAGAAGUGAAAUAACAAGCAACUAAUGAUAUCAGAGCGAGUAAAGUUCUAACAUCUAUACUAAUAGUAAUAGAGCAUAACUAAAACAUAAAAGUAAACAUAAGCUAUACAGUAUUAGCCUCUAAUACAAAAAUGGUGGUCUCUAGUACACUGGUAAACUCUCGACCUCUCCAAAAUAAAGUACAACGAGAGGUAGACCACCUAGCAAAUCGUCCUCGAAGGAAGCUAGCUCGAAACAACUCCCUUCCCGCGGUCCCUGGCCUCACCCUGAGUGGAAGGCUCUGAAAAACAUCGAGAAAAAGAGGGUGUGAGAACUAUAAUUUAUAGUUCCCAGUGGGCAAUUACUGAUCUCAGCUCCUGCUCCACUAGGCCCCAAAAAUAAGGGUAAGUACAAGAUAGUAUUAGCAAUAAAGAUAAUAGUAACACGGUAAGAAAGCAUAAAUGAAGUGCUAACCCAUAUGUCUCAAGUGAGCAUGAUGCUAUAUGAUGUACAUCUACGCUAUCACAAGGUAAUAUGUCCACUGCAUACUAAUAUAUCUCAACAAGUAAACCUCACGAUGCAAUACGUCAAUACAUAAGGGUAAACUCUAUCCAUACAACCAAGUAUACUACGAUGCAGUAAUGAAGCCAGCAAGUAUACUAAAUGUACCAAUGCUAUGUCAUAAGCGUAUCCAAGUGAUCCAACUACUAAUCCUAUCUAGUAGUGACAGUCCAUAUACAACACCGUGUCGAUUUCCAUUUCCAGUUUAAGGACCUACUCAAGGUAGUCCAGCUUGCGCCGCCUAAGUGUCUGUGGUAGCCCGACAUCCCUACUCUUGGAAUGUGUCUGUCCCACUCGACCCCGUUGGCUUCUCAAUACAGCACGAGCGAACGUAGUCGCGUAGGCUAACUCCGGAGUGCCGGCUUGUAGGGAGCGACCCUCACAAGCAUGUGCGACUGAGCACAAAUGGCAAACAAGCGCAGUCCAAGUCUCAAGUACCCAAUCCUCAUGUCUCUAACAUGGUAUAGUUACUAGCAUCCCAAAGAUCUAGUUUAAGUCACAAUGUGAAGUUUUAAUAUUCUCUAGGUCUAGUGCCCCUUUAUGACACUUAGACNNNNNNNNNNNNNNNNNNNNNNNNNNNNNNNNNNNNNNNNNNNNNNNNNNNNNNNNNNNNNNNNNNNNNNNNNNNNNNNNNNNNNNNNNNNNNNNNNNNNCUGUCUGCGGCCGUGCCGAAGCCUAAUGGUCCGUGGUAGUCAUCAUCCCCACCCUAGGAAUGAGCCUGAUCCACGUCAAUCCACCUUCGACGCCCAAUCACCGCACGGCGAAUAUAUGUAUCGCGAUGGCCAUAUCUCGGAGUGCCGCUUGUAGGAUGCGACCCUCACAAGCAUGUGCGAUGAGCACAAAUGCAAUAAUCAAACGAUCCAAGUCUGCAAAGCUACCAGAUUUCAUAUUCGUACGUGGUAUAUAGCAAAGUCCCCGUGGCCAAGUCAUAUUUCAUCAUAUCUCAAAUAUGGAAUAUAGUUGAUGUCAAUGUGGCCUAUUAUCAUCUCUAUGCUUUGCAGUUUUAAUAUUCUCUAGUCCAAGUGCCUCUUUAUGACACUAUGGCGUCAUUCGCUGUCCCACCAAUGGUAAUAAGUUCAAGGUACUUAUAAUGUCUCGUACAAAAUCGAAAGCAAUGAAACUUUAUCUCUAUCAUCUCAAUAGAGUAUUCGUCGCAUGGCAUAUUAAACAAAGCAUAUUUGUCUCUCUACUAUAUACGAGUAAACUUUCUUGAUGAUAAUAUAUGAGUUCUAAGCAUUCAAAAUUUCCCAUAAAUGCUAUAAAUCAUGCAAGAUUGCAUAAAUUUGGAAGAGAAUGAAAGCAUUAACGCACUUAGGAGGAAUUUCCUCCGAUUUUAAGCGAAGCCAAACCCACCGAAAGAAUUCGACUUCUUCGUUUCGCUCCGAACGGAAGAUAUCCACAAGCCCCUAGUACCCCUAGAAACAUCAAAAUAGGGUCACACAGAAACGAACGAAAGAGCGAAUAGCUCAAUCAUUAAUCAACUCAGAGCUCAGAGUUGGGCACAAGAACUCACCUCAAGUGGAGAAACCCUCGUCCAAUCUUCAAAUGGUAAGUGUAAGAAGUCUCUCAAUCUUAAACCUUAUUUUAUAGGUUCCCAAAUUAUUCAAAUGAGAUCAAGAAGCCUCAAAUCCAAAAACCCCCAAAUAAACCCUAAAUCCAACAAAUCUAGGUUUCAUCUAGAAAACAGAAAUACAUGUAUUAAAUGGGGUUAUAAGCUACCAACCUCAAGAAAAGCUCCAUCGCCAAAGUUCAACAAGUAGGGUUGAGGUUGAUUCUUCACAGAAGCUCCAACCGCAAGUGCAAAGCACCAAAAGGUGAGAAAUGAGGAAAAGUUGAUGCCUUCAAGCCUUAUGUCAAAGCUUCUUCGCCUCUUCUUCUCUUCUUCUCCUUCCUUCCUGCUCUCUAGAAGCAAAAGAAAAUCGUGGUCGAAGAGAAGAAGGAGAAGUGGCCAUAUAAGCUUCUCCUUUGUAACAAUCCAGCAUAGCCCUCAACAAGAUCCAAUUUACAUAGCCCGGACUGGGAGUCUUUCGCCAAGAGGACCGUCGCUCUCCCGUCAGCAGGGACGGUCUUCUCGCCUUGCGACCGAAAACCAGCAUUCGGAACCGUCUCUCCCUCGCGCGGGGACGGUCCUCUAUCUGGGCGGCCUUUUUCUCGACUUUUUUUUACGUCUUUUGCGCGGGGGCAAAAAACGCUUGGAACCGGUUCUACGGACGUGCUCAGAGCUUGCCGCCACACUGUUCACGUGGUGGGAACGCGGUUUUCCUUUCCAGGGACCGGUCCGAGAGUAAAAAAACUCUCAGGACGUUGUCCCAAAGACUCUCGAGACUCGACUUUUUAGACGAUACCAUUGACGGCCUCCACGCAAGUGUGAAAAGUUUCGAAUACAUUAACACCUCGAACCUGCAAUUUGCAAAGUGUCCAGAUUGUGUUACAUUCACCCUCCUAAAAAGGAGUUUCUCGUUCCGCGAACUCGAAAGCCAAAAGCACACCGCAAAAGUUCCAUCUGAAAAGAUGGAGAUAAGCGUCCUGUUAGCGCCACUACUCUAGCUCCCACGUGGACCUCGCGCUCCGCUGGUUGCGUCCAAAAGAACCUUCACAUACGAAUAUCCCGAUUCCGUAGCUUCUUCCCUCGCGAGCCAAAAUCUUCACUGGUUGCUCUUCGAAGCUCAAAUCCUCACGCAGCUCCACUGUACAGCUUUCCAAACAAUGAGGCGGGAUCCAUGAAUGUACUCGCGAAGGACGGCGAUACAUGAAAGAGUUGUGUACGGCCCGAUAGGUUCGGUCGGUUAGAGGCAGUCGAUACGCUCCGACUAUACGCUCCAAGACUCUCAUACGGUCCACAUGAAACGGGGCUCAACUUUCCCCGAAUCCCGACUCUUGAUUCCCUAGUUGCCGAGACCUUUAAGAAACAUGGUCUCCCAACUUGGAACUCCAAGGUUCUCGCCGUCGUCGAUCGGCGUAGCUCCCUUCUGUCUACUCUAGCGCCGUCAAAAUCACUCUUCGAGCAAUUCCGAACCUUAUCUCCUCAGCUUCCUGGAGUACAUCAGGGCCUAAAGCGCAAAAGCUCUUCGCGCUAACUCGCUCCAAUGAAAUGGCGAUGCAACACUUCCGUCCAUGAGCUGCCUCGAACGGUGCCAUCUUGAUGCUUGUUUUGAUAACUGUUUGUUAUAAGCAAACUCUGCCAUCGUAGAGCUCGACCAUCCUCCCUGAAAAGUCAAUCACGCAAGGCUCGAAGCAUGUCCUCGAGAAUCUGAUAUAGUACGCUCCGACAUGUCAUCACUCUUGGCGUGGCUGGAAAUGCCGUACUAAAAUCCAAUCUGGAAGUGCCUAAGGCCGUUCCUGCAGACUCCUUGCCAAAAGUGAGACGACGAACCGUGUCGCGAUCAGAUACAAAUCUGAUGUAAGGGCACUCCAUGAAGUCGCAGACAAUCUCAAUCACAGGUCACAGUUUGUGCGAGCUUCUCUCCGGUCCAAGUCCGUAUUUGAAUAGGUUAUAGUGCGCCGACUUGUUCAACACUAUCCACGAUCCACCAAAUAGCGUCAUGCCUCCGCGUUCUGUGAGCGUGCAACUCUGUCACAAAAUCCAUGGUGAUCUUCUUCUCAGCCACUUCCAACACGGAAUAGGUAAUACUUGAAUUUCCCGCGGGAAACUCGGUGCAUCAGCCUUUAACUUGUGGCAAUUAGACAACGAGCUCGAACUCCGCAACGUCCUUUUAUUAUCGCCGGCCACCAUAUGAGCAACUUUAAGUCCUUAUACAUUUUGCGGCCACCGGAUGUAGCCGCAUAGGGCGCUCGGUGCGCUUCUUGAAAGAAUGUCUUCUUUAAUUCCGAAAUCCGCCGGAUGACACAUAGUCGUCCUCGAAAGCGCAUCAACUCCUCGGGUGCCACGAAGGAAAUCGCCGUGCAACCAUCAACCAUUUUUCUACUAUCUAUAUUUGGCAUUCAAAUCGGAAAACUUCGCCUUCUCUUUAAUUCUGUCAACAAGGUUAGGUUUGACUAACUAAUCGUCAUCAAUCCUAAGGGUGUGUCAGGAGUCACUAUCUCCAACUCCAACCGUUCAAUCUGUUGAUCAACUGCGGUUGAGUCACAACAUGCAUUGCUAAGUUUUUCCAUCGAUUUCUAUACUUAGACGGCUCCGCAUGUCACGUUACCUUGCCUGGGGUGGUAAAGAAUCGUCAAAUCAUAAUAGUUCUUGCUCCUGAGCUAGCUCCAACCGAUCUGCGCCUUGCUCAGUUCAGCUCCUUCUGACUAAACAGGAUAUUUAAGCUCUGUGAUCCGUGUAUAACUUACAAUCGCUCGCCAUAAGAAGAUAGUGGGCCAUGCGCUCAUGACGGCAAUGCGAACUCUACGGCCGCCGACUCCAAUACUGCGUCGGGUAAUUCUUUCAUAUUCCUUUUGCUGGCGAGAAGCAGUACGCGAUCACCUUGCCAUCCUGCAUCAAACUACACAGCCCAAACAUUAGUGAAGCAUCACUAUAGCAGGAAACCACAUACCGCGGCUCAGCUACUGGUAGCUAGGGUCAGGAUCGGGGCAGUCGUCAAUCUCUUGCUUCAACCUUGGAAGCUUCGCAGUCGCCAUCGCGUCUUCCAAAUUGAACUACCCUUUGUCGUUGAGCCUCGUGAGGGGAUAGACAGUUUGGCAAACCCUCUACAAAUCUCCGGUAGUAACGGCCAAUCAACGAAGCUCCGUAAUGCUCCGUGACGCUCGUGCGGCCGCUCGGCCAAUCCUUGAAUUUGCUUCUAUUUCAUUGGGAUCCAUGCUAUACAGGCGAUCCUGAAAUCCAAGUGUCCAAGGGAAGGCUCCUCUGCGAAGCCAAAAUUCACAUUCUUCAACUUGCAUAAAGUUCUCCUUUUUCCGAAGUACUGGAGUACAAUCCUCAAAUGUUCCUCUGAUCUGCAUCAACUCCGAUGAGUAGACCCAAAUGUCGUCGAUGAACACCCACGAGAACACUGUCUAGGUAAAGGCUGAAAACGGUUAUAUAGAUUCCAUAAAAGCUGCCGGUCAUUUAAGCCAAACGGAUAACUGUGAACUCAUAAUGUCCAUACCGCUGUUCUAAAAAGCCGUCUUAGAUUACUCCUCGGCUAUGAUCUUCAACUGGUGGUAUCCCGACUGCAAGUCAAUCUUGAAUAACACCACACGAUCACCUGCAAGCUGAUCAACAAUCACCGAUCCUGGCACGGAUACUUGUUCUUGAUCGUGACUUUAUUAAGUUCACGAUAAUCACACAAAGGCGAAGUGAUCCGUCUUUAAUUCUGACGACAAACGGCGCGCACCAAGGUGCAACACUCGGUCGAAUGAAGCCCGUUGCUCCAACAAAUCUAGCAGCUGUGGGCCCUCAGCCCCUCAGCUCCGCCGGUGCAUCCUAUAGGUGCCUUGGAGAUUGGGUAGUCCAGGGACGAAGAUCCAGCCACAAACUCAAUCUCGCCUAUCAGAGCAUACCCGGUAGCUCCGCUGGAAAACACAUCCUGGAACUUCCCUGCACAAGUCACCGCAACGAUAAUCCUCGAUCUAGGGGUGUCACCUCUCGCUCUCAGCACAAACACUAGCCAAUAGGCUAAACGCAACUCUUGGCUAAAUCAGGCUGCAUCAGCUCGAGACGAGCUGAUCGUCAUCGCAACAUCGAACUCGCGGCAUUCCACUACAUACCACUCGUCUGCCAGGUUUACUCUAAAAGUAACCUGGCGAUUCUUAACAAUCAAUGAGUGGCAUAUAUACUUGGGUCAACCAAUUCCAUGUCCCAAGACCACACGAAAUCCCCCAGCUUGCGGCAAGGCUAGCAAAUCUAUAGGCUGAUCCAAUCUCCGCACCGAAUUAGGGCAAAACAGGGGUAAACUCUUAAUUGAUCGCGCUAGAUGUGGAGGGUACUACAUGUCCCGUAUGACGACAAAAGAUACCAAAGUGGAUGCCAUUGCAACUCGGCACAACAGUCCGAUCUAUAAAUGAAUGCGAUGCACCGUAUUAAAUAAAAUACGAACUUAAUGCCAUCAAGUUAAAUGAUACCUGCAACCACAUCCUCGGCUGCUGCCGGCUCUCGGUCUGAGCGGCAUACAUGCUGCCCACUCGGGCCUGUCGAGAUCCCCUCGCUCUAGGCGCUGGAGGACGGGUGGCCGCCAGCAGCUGAUACUGUGCGAUGGAGUCCCAUGUGCUGACGGCUUGUAGAAGCCGGUGGGCCGAUGCACGUCGACCUGGUUGCGCGUGAGAAUCCCCUCGGCCAUCGGUACGCACGGUGAGCCCUCCUGGCCACACUGGAAACACUCCGCCGCGCUGUGGACACUGGGUGGGUAAUUGAGGACCACUCGCAGAUCCACACGGAAGGCCGGCGCCGAUCAGAUCCUCCUCGCUCGCUGUGCUGCUGAGCCGCGUCCACGGUGCUGGCUCCUCGGAUGCUGUCGGCGGCCUGCCUAGAGUGGUCUGGCCUUCGCACCCUCACCGCAGGCCUCUUGCCUGUACAAAACUUGUCCAUAGCAAUCUACGCUGCUCCCUGACCUCUGUCGCGCACUCUAACACAAUGACUAGCGCAGCGAUUCCACCUCCCGGUAGGCUUGGAGGUUAAGGAUUCGCACAACCGAAAAUAGACGGCUCAAUCCCUCGCUGCAAAGAUGCGGGCCUUGUCCUCGUCUGUCACCGCACGACGAAGGGCACGCAUGCAGAAGCCGAGAAAUCUACUCUCGUACAUCGGCUAUGUCCUUGUCACCCUGGCGCAAGCUGCGCAACAUCCUGUUCUUCAUCCUCCGCUUGACGCGGUCGGAUAAGCUAAUGGGCCUAGAAAAAGCUCCUUGACACCUCGCCCAAUGUGAUAGAUGCCUAAGUCAGUGCUGGGUGCUCCUGAAAAUCCAACCACAGCGGUAGGCCUCGCCGUCCAAGUGGGUGAUGGCGAGCGAACUCUGUCCCUCUCUCCACGAAGGUGUCGCGGAAGAGUUUCUCCCAUGUGCAUCAACCACUUCUCACGAUCCGUGGUCGACUUUCUCGCCAUCGAAGAUCGGGGACUUGCACCUCCUGAAACUCAUUGAGAGCGCGUCCAUCAAUCUAUCCGCUUCCGCCCCUCAACUCAAUGUUAGGAGAAAGCUGCUCCAACCGCGGGGCCUCUGACAGGCGGAUGUACCAAAACCUCGCUCCUGGGUCACGGCCCGCAGGCGGCCGCACGCGAAAAGCUGGGGCGUGGGUGAACGGCGCUCUCGUGCAAACGUCCACACCGGUGCUGGCGGUGUAGGGCCCUGCGUCUCCCUAGAAGCUGCUGUUUGCUUUUAUUAUUGCUUUUAUCUAUGUUGUUGUUAGACGCCUUAAUGCGUUUAUGACGCAUGGGGGUCUGGCACGUGCCGGCGUGCUUCCGCUGGGUCCGGGAACGUACAGAUUAAUUUGGUAUCAGGAGCAUAUUAAAUGUCUAAAUGCUACAUCAAGAAAUAAGGAGGGUAAAACUGUAAAAUCCCACUAAAUAUAAGACAUGAAGUAAGGACAAGAGGAAAUCCCAAUUACAAGUGCUAAAAGUAGGCUACAUACGGUGGUCUCUACACUGGAUACAAAAUAUCUCUCUCUUCUCAACUGCAAAAAAGAAAGUAAACCACUAGGCAAAGUUACCGCUCCUCGCUACUAGCUACGCAAUCCCACUGGCCGCCGAUCCGCGUGCCUUCCCCGGUGCCUGAAGGCUCUGAAAAAGUAAACAUAGAAACAAGGGGGCUGAGAACUAUUUAAGAAUAGUUCCUAGUGGCAAGUUUACUUGACUUCAGUGAAUGCACCACAAGGCCCAAAGCUACAAUAGAUGUCAGUACAUAACUGUAGGAAAAAGAAAGGCAAGUUAAAAAAUGUAACUUACUACAACAAGAUAUCUCUACUUAGACAUAAAUAGUAUAAGUAUGUAAACAACUAAUGCAUGGAAGUAAAAUCUCCAACUAUCAUUAAUGCACAAUUUGCGUAAUAGUAAAGUUCGUUGUUUACUAUUCUGUCAAUGUCCAAAUAAUACUCUAAGUCAUCAUCUGCCACAUGUAUGCAUAAUACUCAAUCAAAUCUGAAGAGCCCACCCCGAGGCUGUCUAUGGCCUAAGACCCACCGUAGGCUGUCUGGCCGGUGCGAGCCUAAUGGCCCGUGGUAUGUCUCAUCCCCACCUCUAGGAAUAGCCCUGUCCCACGGCAAUCCUUCGACUGUCGCAAUCCCGCACUGGCGAAUAUGUAUCGCGAUGCGCAUCUCGGAGAUGCCGGCUUGUAGGAGCGACGCCUCACAAGCAUGUGCCGAAUGAGCACAAUGGCAAAGUAAUCAAAUGAUCAGGCAAGUACCAAAAUUCUCAUGAUUCGAUAACGUAGUAUAUAGCAAAUGUCCUCGGUGGCCAAGUCACUAAUUUCAUCAAUCUCAAAUAUGGAAUAUUGCAUGUUCAAUGUGGCCUUUAUCAAUGUUUCUAUGUUGCAAUUAAUAAUUCUGCUAGUCCAAGUGGCCUCUUUAUGACACUAUGGCUCUAUGUCUGUCCCAACAUGGAUAUAAGUUCAAGACUUAUAAUGUCUAGUCAAAAUCAAAGAAGACAUGAAACUUUUAUCUCUAUCAUCUCAUAGAGUAUUCGUCGCAUCGCAUAUUAACAAAGCAAUUUGUCUCUCUACUAAUAUAGUAGUAACUUUUUGAUGCAUAACAUAUGAAGUUCUAAGGCAUUCAAAAAUAUCCGCAUAAAUGUAUAAACAUGAAUAAUGCAUGAAUUUGCAAGAGAUGAAAGCAUUUAAUCCACUUAGGAGGAAUUCCUCCGAUUUCAAGGAAGCAACCCACCGAAAGAAAUGCGACUUCUUCGUUUCGCGCGAACGAGAUAUCACAAGCUCCUAUCCGCUAGAACAUCAAAAUAGGGUCACCCAAACGAAACGAAGAGCGAAUAGCUCAAUCAUUUAACCAACUCAGCUAGGUUUGGCAAAAACUCACCCAAGUGGAAAAACCCUCUCCCAAUCCUCACAUGGAAGGUAGAGGUCUCCAUCUAACCUAUUUAAAUGGUUGCAAAUCAUUCGAAAUGAGAUCAAGGAAGACUCAAAUCCAAAAAAACCCCCCAAAAUAACACCCUAAAUCCAAAUUCGUAGGGUUUCAUCUAGUAAAACCUACGAAAUACAUGUAUUAAAUGGGGAUUAUAAGUACACCGAACCUAAGAAAAGCUCCAAUCAAGCUCAAAACCAAGUAGGGUUGAGGUUUGAUCCUUCACAGAUUCCACCGCAAGUGCAAAGCCACCAAAGGUGAGAAAUGAGGAAGAAGGUGAUGCUCCAAGGCCUCUAUGCAAGCUCUUCUCAUCUUCUUCUCCUUCUUCUCCUUCCCUUUCUCUCUCUAGAAGCAAAAGAAAUGGUGGAGUGAGAAGAGGAGAAGGAGAAGUGGCCAUAUAAGCCUUCUCUUGUAACAAAAUCCAGCUAGGCCCCUCAAAAAGUCCAAUUUACAUCAGCCCGGACUGGGCAGUUUUCGCCCAGAGGGACCGGUCUCUCCCCAGCAGGGACCGGUCUCUCGCUGCGAACCCGAAAACCAGCGUUCGGGAACCGGUCUCUCCCUGCGCGGGACCGGUCUCUCUCUGCGAGAACGCGCUCGGGAACCGGUCUUGCCUGCCAGGGACCGGUUGCCUCAGAGCUGCCGCAGCACUGUUCACUGGGGGAACCGGUUUCUCCUUCCAGGGACCGGUCCCCGAGAGUAAAAACUCUCAGGACUUGUCCAAAACUCUCGAGAUCGAACUUUUAGACCGGUAUACCAUUGACGGCCCUCCACCAAGUGUGGAAAAGUUCGGAAUACAUCCAAACACUCGAACCUCGCAAUUUGCAAAGGUCCAGUGUGUUACAUUACUAAAUGCAUGUUUCUCCAUGAUAUUGUGGGUAAUUUGGAGUAUUUUGCAAUAGUAGCAAACUAGGGCUCCGAAAGGGGUUUUUUGUAAAUAGUUGAGUUUGAUCUCAAUUGACCGUCCGUACCUAAUUGCUAGGUAUUCUGACGCGUUGGCGAAGUCGGUUCGACGAUUCGUCGAGCCGGUGCAAAGAUAUUGAAGAAACGGACUAUUUAGCUUCGUUUCCGCCUGGAGGGCCGAGGCGACAACUAAAAAUCAUGGAAACGGAUCUGGACCACCGUGGCGGCAAACCAUAGACCUAUAAUUUCUGGAGCCGCGAUUCGGCGCACGGUUGGUGCGCAACUGCAGGAGGCCGUGCCGGAUACGGGUGCCGCGGGAGGCCGAUUGCAAGUGGCUACAAGCAAUCGGAGAGCGAAUCGAGGUGGGUUGUGUUUACUGAAGCGACUAGGUCGCCUCUAUGUCUAAGAGUAAUGUUUACUAUUGAUGCAUGUAUAUGUAGUGGUAGGUUGCAUAAGAUAAUGGAGAUGCACGAAUCUUAUUAUGCUUGAUGUUUAAUGCCUACCAAUGAGAUAUAUAUGUUGACACAUUGAGGAAAAUGCAUAAUGACAUAAUGCUAAUACUAAAUGGAUGCAAGUUAACAUAUAGAGGAUUAUGUUAAUUGAAAUGUGCAUGUAGACAUCUAUAUAUUAGAUCGAGUGGCAUCGAACCUAGUAUUAAUAAACAUACAUCGAACCUAGUGUUAAUAAACAUAGGUCGAACACGAGUGGCAUCUAACCUAGUGUUAUUAAACAUAGGUUGAACAUGAAUGACAUUGAACCUAGUGUUAGUAAACAUAAGUUGAAUAAGUGAACCUAGAGUCAAGAUCUAGGUGAGUGGCAUCGAACCUAGUGUUAAAGAACAUAGGUUGUGGGUUAAACCUAGAGUUAAAGUAAACCUAGGUUAUGUGAUAGAGGCAUGAACCUAGAGUCAGUUGGACCUAGGGUGAAAAACACAUCGGACCUAGAUAGGUCGAUACUAUAGGGUUUGAGACCAACUCUUGAGUUGUGAAAUGGAUUUCGAAAUCCCUAGUGUUGUGACCACAAAAGAAGCUGUAGAACUUGUGACAGGAUACAAGAGAUGGCAUUUAGAAUCAUAACUGCGGGUAUGUGUGGGUCUCCUCGCCCGGCAGUGAUUCAAUGGGUAUGUGUGGUUCUCCUCGCCCGAUAUGCCAUGAGAAUAAUGAUCCAACAGGUAUGUGUGGUUCUCUUCGUCUAGUAUAAGCUAGAAUGAGUAUGUGUGGUUCUCCUCGCUCAUUUAGCUUAUUGGAUGAUGCCGCCUAGAUUGACUUGAACCAUUGCUGGGUAAGGGCGAUGUGGUCGCUGCCAGAUGACUAAGUCACGACUUGAGCCAUUGUUGGGUAUGAUGCGAUGAGUUCGUCGCCGGAUGGCUAAGUCAUGACUUGAGUCGUUGUUGGGUUCGAUGCGAUGAGUUCGCCGCCAGAUGGCUAAGUCAAGAGGUGCAGUGGGCGGUGACGGCAGCCAGGCAGAGGUGCAGCCAGUGCGCGGACUAUCCACGGAUGAUUGACUCGAUGCCGAGUCGGGUGGAUAGCUUGGUAGAGGUAGUAGAAACCUUGAAAGCUAGUGAUAGAGGCAAGAGCUCAGGUAAUAGAGACCUUAGAAGCCAGUUGAACUCGAAUUAUGAACCUAAGGUAGUAGACACCUUAGAGAUGAAUGACAUGAGCUAAAACUAACCAAGUAAAUGUAGAAUCAAUAGAUCUACUAGGUGUUGCAUAUAUUCAUAUUGCAUUGUUGCAUAAAUUGCAUAUGGAAUAGCAUUAUUGCAUUUGUGAGGCAAAGCAUGAUAUAUGUUAGUUGCAUUUAAAUUAUGAUUUCAUAUCUAUCUAUUGAACUAACAUGUUGUUGCUUCCCUUAGACUUACUGGUCGAGCUUUUCCCUUGGGUGGCCGUACCCACUGGGAAUCAUGGAGUUGGUUCUCACCCUACGUUGUUUUGGGGUGUUACAGGUUCGCACGUGAGCGGCGCGGCGGCGCGAGGCAAGGGCGUAGCUCCAUAGAUAGCGCCCUACCCCAGAGACUAGAGAUAGUGGUACCCCGAGUCGGCAUAGCCUAGGGGUAUAGGAAAGGGAAAAGAACACAAUGCACUAAAACUUGUAAAUAAAUGAUGUAGUAACUUGAUUGUAUUUGGAAGUAAUAAAAUGUUUUAUGCAAGUGUGAUGUAAAAAUGAAUCUAAUGAGAAUGCUUGUAAUAACAUAGGAUGUGUUAUGUUGUUUGAUACCUUCCUUAUGCAAUCAUUGUACGAAUACUGUUCCUGUUUGGAACCUUUUGUAUUGUUCUGUUUGUUGAGCCUUGAACGGUGCAGGGGAGACUUUGUCCGCAGUACAGGAAAAAUCUUGUCCGUUCGGCGCUGUCGGCGGUCCGAACUCGGCCAAAUAGGCAUGGGGCUCGCGGUGUGACAAAACCCCAAUGAGCCAUAUCCAAGUUCAUGAACCAAAUCCCACAUACACCAAGUCCAUGAAUGAUGAACCAAGUCAAUACACCAAGUUCAUAAACCACAAACCAAAUCCAUAAAUCAUAUCCAAGUUCAUGAAACAAAUCCCAUAUACCAAACCUCAUGAACCAUGAACUAAAUGCCAUACACCAAACCCUAUAAACCAUACCCAAGUUCAUGAACCAAACCUCAUGAACCAUACACCAUACUCAUGAAUCAAAUCCCAUGAACCAUACACCAUACUCAUGAACCAAAUCCCAUGAGUCAUAUACCAAAUUCAUGAACCAUGAACCAAAUCUCAUGGACCAAACCAUACCCAAAUCUCAUGAACCAUAUCCAAGUUCAUGAAACAAAUACAAUACCCAAAUUUCAUGAACCAUACAUCAAGUUCAUGCCCAAAGUUCAUCAUGAACUUUGUAACAUACCGAAACCUCGGUAAGCAACAUCGAACUUUAGUCAAAAUGACCAAAGUGUGAGGUUAGUACGCUUCGGAAAGGCCGAAGGCGUCAAAACGAGCAAAAGUGCAUUACAGGGGAUUUUCGAGAGUGUUGUGAGUGAAAAUCUGCAAACUGCAGGUUUUCUGCUCUCGGGGACCGGUCUCUCCACCGGUCCCUGAAGGAGAGACCGGUCCCCGUACGCGCAGCCAGCGAAAGGAAGGAAAAAUCGGCUAAGUCCUGAGAGUAUUGCUCUCGGGGACCGGUCCCUGAGGGGAGAGACCGGCCCCCGUGAGACCGGUCCCUCGGUACGAGACUGGACCCCAGCUGCGUAAACUGCAAAGGGUGCUCUCGGGGACCGGUCCCCUGCUAGAGAGACCGGUCCCCGUGCCCGAAAAAGGCCGAGUCUGGGCAGUGCAAGGAGAUGAAAGUUGAGGGGUUUAAAUGCAAUUGUGCAUUGAAUGGGUUAUGUAAUGGGGUAAAUGAGGGCUUUCUCUCAUUUCUCUCCUUCUCACACCCUCUCAUCUCUCUCUCUCUCUUUCUCUCUAGAAGGAGAAGAAGAAGAAGAAGAGGCUUGGAGAAGUGGGUUUUGGAGGCUUCGGUGGUUCUUGGAGCUCUCCUACAAGAAGGAUCUUGGGAUAGCUUUUGGCUAAUGUGAGUUUCUUGCAAGUAGAGCUCUAGGGUUUGGAUUUUACCUUAGAACUUGGAGUUUUGAUCCUCUAGCAAGGCUAGGAUCAUGGUAGAGAGCUUAGAACACCAUGAAAACUAUGGUUUUCUUGAGGUGCUCACAUGGUGAACUUCUAGGGUUCAUGGUAGAUGCCCUAGGAAUGGUUCUAAAGGCUUGGAAACCUUAUUAGAAUGCUUCCUAGUGGAUUCUAAGCUAUCUUUUGCUUAGAAGUGAGAUUAAUCUAGGAGAAAUUUGAGUAUGGCAUUGUUAGGGCUCAAAAUUGGGGCUUUUUUUCUAGAAUUUUUUCAAGGCAAAUUGACCUCUUGAAAACCUAAUUGGGGGUAUUCCCGACGCGUUGGACAACUCCGUUCGACGUUACGAAAAUGUCUAAGUAUAGUUUGUGUACAUAGGGCCUAGUUUGGCACUAUUUUGGUUACAGGACGCGGAUUCGGCGUUCGUAAAGUUCGGGAGUCAUCGUAUUCUUCAUCUACUACCACUCAAGGUGGGGGGUGCACACCGGAAUCAUCGGAUUCUCCUUUAUGUCUAUUUCACCUUUUAUUGAGCAUAUUGUUGUAUAGUCAUUCAUGCAUAGUAGGGUUAAAUUACAUGUGAACCUUGGUUAUAAUUUCAAUAUUAUGCUUCUAACGUAGAUGAGCAUAGUGAUUAAACAAGAAUCAUAAUGGACAUGUAUGGUAGAACCCUAAAGUUGUAUUAAUGUGAGACUUGGACUUGAACAAUAGUAAAUAAAGGUGACAUUGACAAUAGAGACAUGAUUGGCAUUGAGAAAUUGGUUGUUAAACAUAGUUUAACUAUAGUGACAUCGUGACAAGUAUGACUUGAAAAUUGUAUGAGCAAAUAGGUAGAAACCUAUUGUGACAAUAGCAUUAUGACUAGUGGAUGUAAAUUCUCAAGUUGAGGAUUAAAUCGAUACUCACGAUAAGUCUUGGCUUGAGGGAGGUAGCUCCCCCUCGGGCGGUGCGCUCAGGAGUUGGUCACCACUGGGCGUGGUAAAGUCCCCCCAGAGGACAGUCCCUAGGGUGGUUCGAGUCCCCCGUUAUUAACGGAUUUCGAGUUGUGAGUUAUUAGGGUUAACCAGCAAGAUUGGGUAAAAGCCAAAGUAAAGAUAUAAAACAAGCAUGCAUGCAUGAGCAUUCAUUAUUUGAUUAUAUAUCCACUGACAUUUUUCUUGUAGGCAUAGUAUUAGCAUUAGUAUGGUUACAGUUUCCUUUUCUUUGAAAUACUUAUGCCUAAAUAGACCUAGUGGGUAAGUCGGCGAGGUCGGUUGCCGAACCUACUAGGAACUUCGUUGUAGUUCUCACACCACUAACCCCACAGGUCCGAGCGUGAGUGGGGCGACGGAGGAUCGAGGCAAGGGUAUUGGGCUAUAGCUAGUGGCCACCGGGACUUAUGCAUUUUGUAGUCAUUUUUUUUGUAUACAUAUAUCAACUUUCCUUUGUUGAUUUAGAGUUGUAAAGUUGUAAGCAAUCAUGUAUUUUUGGUGGAUGGCUAAAAUGUAAAGAAUUAUGAAUGUAAGUAAAAUGAAGAAUUAUGAAUGUAAAGAAUUAAGAAUUAUGAAUGUAUUUGGUUAAAAUGUAAUCAAAUAUCAUGUAUGGUUGUAUGUUUUAGCUUAGAGCUUUCGCUUCCGUUGUUGCUUGGUCUCGUGCAAGCCUUGUAUAAUUGCAUAUCUCUUUGUUUGAUUGCUUAAUUAUACUUGUUGUUAGAGCCUUGGGUGAACAGGGGAGAUACUGUCCGUUCGGCGUCUGUUGACGUGACCAGAACCCGACCAAAUUGGCGGGGAUUGGGGUGUGACAAACUUUUUUUUUACUCUAGCUCAUAUACCUAGAGUAAAAAAUUAAAUGCAAUAUCGACUACCCCUAAUACAUAUACUUAGGGCUAAGUCAAUUGUCUUAGCACAUAUAACUAAGGCAAACCAUCUCCAAAUCAAUAGAGUUCUAAAUUAUAUAUUUAGAAUUCAGUCAAAUGAUAUUCGACUAACCCUAACACAUAUCCUUAGGGUCUAGUCAACCUUUUGCUCUAACACAUAUACCUAGAGUGGAAGUCAAACCAAGCUUGACUAACCCUAACACAUACACUUGGGGUCUAGUCAGCCUUUUGCUCUAGCACAUCUACCUAGAGUGAAACCCAAACCUGAUCGAGCUCUAAUACAUAUACUUAGAGCUCAUGUAAAUCAAAUCCGACGAACCCUAACGCAAUAUCUUAGGGCUUAGUUAGAUCUUCGCUCUAGCACAUAUAACUAGAGUGAAAAAUAUAUUGUACUCGGUUAAUCCUGAUACAUAUACUCAGGAAUUAGCCACUCUCUACUUUCGGGUAACAUCAAAUCCGACCUACCUCAAUACAUAUACUUGGGGUUUGGUCACAUCUUUACCUUAGAUCAUACAACUAAGGUGAAACCAAAUAUAAUCGGACUCUAAAUCAUAUACUUAGAGCCAAUUAGACUCUAAUACAUAUACUUAGAGUUUAACAUCGACUAGGUCUUAACACAUAUACUUAGGACCUAGUCAACCUCAAAUCCAAUUGAAUCCUAAUACAUAUAUUUAGGAUUCAAUAAAUCAAGAUACGAUCCUCUCUAUAAAGGUCUCUUAAUCGAAGGUGCCCCAAUGCCAGGGGGUAAUUAACAAUAGAUGCUUGCAUCUAUUGGUAGCUAUGGACCCGCAAUACCUGAUACCCAUGUACAUACAAAUACUAAUCUGAAUCAUGAAUACUACCCCAUGGCGAAAUUUCAUCGACCGUGCGAGGUGCGUCAUUCGUGGUGGCAGACAAAAUGGCACACCCGGUGAGACAUGCCUUUUCCUUCCAUCUUCGAGACCUAAAAAAAAAAAAGAAAAAAAAAAAGAAAGAAAGAAAAGAGAGAGAAUGAGUCCUCACUUCUACCUCUUUGCAACAGGGAAAUAGCACCAACAUCAAAGAACGUUGUCGCUGCAUCAACAAACUCAAUGAUAUUGGAGGCGGGUUCGCAAAUCUGCUUGCCCACGUCUAUCCUGACGUUCAGAACUCCAGGUGCUUCAAUCCAAUUUGGCACCAUUCCGGAAGAUGUUCGAGCUGCCGAGCUGUUGUCAUGGCUCAAAUUUCUGCUGCUACUGGGGGCAAGAUUACUCCUGCCACCCCUUCGCAAGAUGUAAGCAAUGUCGUCAUUCCUCGGCUACCAUCUCGAGGAAGACGACCUAAUGUGGUCAUCCCCAACCCUCCUCGCCGACCCAUAGGUGAACGACUCACUUACCAACCUGCAUCCAAAAGGAUGGAGUUUGAAGGAAGACUGAUAUUCCCAAAGGGCAGGGUGCAGAAAGCAUCAGUAUUCGAUAGGCUGACGCUUUCUAAUGAUACUACAACCACUAUUCCUCCGACAAGAGUAUCCUUUAAGAGGAAUAGCUGCCAUCAACUCCACCGAGGAAAGAUUGCUGGGGGCAAGGACAAUAACGUUCAAGAGCUCCAAAUGAUCCAAUCAACUUUUCCAACUCACAACUCUUUCGCUCCAUUGGAGCUUGUGAAAAAGAAUGCGAUGACCGCUAUCUUACGGCCAAUGAAUCGGCCAGAAGUUUCGAAGAGAUGUCAAGGGACUAUCAAAGAACAUCAAGAGGAAAAUAUUUCUAAAAUAAUUUACAAGGCCUAUAAGGCCAUUAAGGGACGAAUGGGAAAGUUGGGAGCUCAAAAGCAAUUGUUACCACCUCGUAACAAAGUGUGGGUAUGAAAAGAAUUCGUCCCAAUGACUAACGACUCAUGUGAGAUGAAUGAAAAUAUGGUGGUCCAUACUAUUCGAAUGGUUGGACAUCAAGAGCUCGAUCAAUCAGAGGAGCAGGAGAUGCUAAAUCAAAUGCUUACUAGAGCUGCUGCUCGCAGAAAGGGGGUAGCGAAACAAAAUGAACCAGCGUCAUCUAACCUUCAAAGGUUAUCGGUGGACUCGUCUUUACCCGACAACCCUCAUGACGAGGAUGAAGAAGAAGAAGAACUAGUCUUCAUGGCCAAUGAUCCAAAAGAUGCCAUGAUUGCAUCUUUAAAAAGACAAAUUGAUGAAAAAGAUAGAUAUAUAAUUAAUCUCUAUAAAAAGAUGAACAGAGUUAUGUGUCUGCUACUGAAUGUACAGUCCAAUCUCGAAAAUCAACGAAACCAAGCUGCACCACAGUCAGAUGAAGUACGUCCGACUGUAUCCCAAUCGAUGAAUACACAGCAGCCAGCUCAGACGACGCCUUUUGUCGCACUUCUGUCGGCAUCAGCGGAACCACAAAACCACCAAAGCAACUUUCCUAUGACGAAUGAAGAAAUCCAGGAGUUGGUUUCAUCGCAAAUCAAACAAACGAUUGAUGAAGCAGCUCCAAAACGAUGAAGCAGGGGGCACCCAUACCCUAUAAAAUACGAUAACAUCCCAUUUCCUGAUAGGUAUAUCGUUCCCAAAUUCAAGACAUUUUAUGGAAUAGGCAACCCUGAUCAACACUUAGCACACUUCAAAGCUACAUGUGGGAAUACUGGAGGUAAUAGUGCACUCCUCUUGCGUCAAUUCCCUCAAAGUCUUUCAGGAGUGGCAUUCGAGUGGUAUUAUUCACUCGAAGAUGAAUCCAUCACAACGUGGGACGAUAUGGAAGAAGCUUUCAGAAAUAAAUUUGCCACUGUUAGCGAUAAGAUUAUGAUAGCUGACCUGGUCGCCACAAAAAGAAGGAAGGACGAAUCGAUGCUGGAAUACAUCACACGGUGGCAAAAUUUGAGCAUAGAUGUGAACAACCUAUUGAACAGACUCAAGCUGUUGGAUUGCUUAUGGGUAAUGUUGAUAAUUGGAUAGCUCCAUUCCUAUGUACCACGAAAUGUACUACAUUUCAAGAUUUAAUAUUAAAUGUUUCAAGGUUGGAGAGAACAGACCUGCACGCCCUGACGAACUUCCAAACCCAAAAGCCCAAACGGGAAGAGGGCAAAAGAGUUGAACACUUUAAGGCGGUACACACUAAUGUGCUGGAGAAAAUAAAGAAAGCUAUGACCACUAUAGCGGAGGAGGCACCUCUGAAGUCUGAAUUGGAUGGAAAUAAUUUUAAAGGGCCAACUUUUGAAGAAAGAAAGAAUAAAAUUUAUCCCUUCAAAAGAGAUAAGGUGAUAGAGAUGCGUUAAAGAGUGGCCUUCAACUGCCAAAACUGAGAAAAUUAGAAGAUGUUGGGAAAAUAAAUGACCCAAACUAUUGCUUGUAUCACCAGAUGAUUAGUCACCCCAUUGAAGAUUGUUGGGUAUUCAAAGACUGGGUAGAAAAGCAAUAUAAAGCCGGCAUGAUCACUCUUUCUCAAGCCGUGCUUACAGAUCCGCCAACUGAAAAUACGAAUUUUGUGAAUAUAAAAGAUGAAAAUAAUGAAGAAGAUGAUACGCCUCCUCCUGAAUUCUGGAAUAUCUUCUUAUCGAAAAAGACUCACAAAAUGUUGAAAUAUUUGAAUACAGUUCCUGAAAUUACAUGGAGAAAUCCAUUGCAUCCGAAAGUUCAGACAUCCUCAUCUGAAACAGCACCUAGUCCUCCUACUUUAGAAAAACGAAAAACAAUCUUAAAGAAAGGAGUACGAAAACUCGUGAAACCAGCUCAAUACAAAAAGCGGGAUGGAGUAUCAGCAGUAACAAUGCGAGACUUCAUAGUAAAAGCAUUAGAAGAUGCAGAGAAUAAAAAGAAGUCUCAAGAAACUGAGAAUAAGGAACUCUUUUAGCCUGAAACUUGUAGAGUCAUCUCAGUCAGAAGUGAUAAGGACUAUCUCUUAAACCAGCAGAGAACGUAUGACAACCAAGAUCAAUUAGCACAAAUUCAAGAGAUCAUGACCUUGAAUUUUGAUUGUCUGCGACCACGAAUGACGCACCUCGCACGGUUAAUCUUUUUUUAAUUUCCCGUUGAGUAGUAUUCAUGAUUCAGAUUAAUAUUUAAGUAUAUAUAGUUAUCAAGUAUUGUGGAUUCAUGGCUUCCAAUAAAUGCAAGCGUCUAUUGUUAAUUACCCCUAUAAAGUGUUAGGGCACCUUCGAUUAAGAGACCUCUGAAAUGUCGAAAUAGACUGAAAUUGAAUAAAAGAUGAAUUUUAUAACACAAUCUGUUAUAUAGUUACAUAGCUUAACCAAGGGCAUACCCCCGGUAUACAUGAAUAGAGAAAGUGCUUAGUUUAACGACAUGACGGUCGAUUAAAUUAGGUUGCUCAGUUUAACGACGUUGCGGUUGAUUGGAUUUAAAUUGCUCAGUUUAACGACAUGGCGGUCGAUUAGAUUUAUAGUUUAACGACAUGGCGGUCGAUUAGAAUGAUUUGCUCAGUUUAACGACAUAGCGGUCGAUUAGAUUUGAUUUGCUCAGUUUAACGACAUGGCGGUUGAUUGAAUUGAUUUGCUCAGUUUAACGACAUGGCGGUCGAUUGAAAUGAUUUGUUCAGUUUAACUACAUGGCGGUCGAUUAGAUUUGAUUUGCUCAGUUUAACAACAUGGCGGUCGAUUAGAUUUGGGCUGCUCAAUUUAUCGAUAUGGCGGUCGAAUUGAAAUUUAAGUUGCUCAGUUUAACGACAUGACGGUCGAUUAAAUUUAAUUUGCUCAGUUUAACGAUAUAGCGGUCGAUUGAACUUAGAUUGCUCAUUUUAACGACAUGGCGGUCGAUUGAAUUUAUGUUGCUCAUUUUAACAUGGCGGUCGAUUGAAUUGAGUUGCUCAGUUUAACUACGUGGCGGUCGAUUGGAUUUAAAUUGCUCGACUUGGACUCACCUUUAGCUUAAACUUCUGAGUUUGGAGGGCAUGAUGUAGGUGAAGGGCAAGUACACGAAAUGAACUUGACUUGGCAUACAUGAAUUUGAAAGUUUAAAUUCAAAAGUUUAAAUUUCAACUUAAAAUUUAGAAUUUUAGCAUAAAAUUUGAAUGGAGUAUAAAACUUUAGAUUUAAAUUUAAAAUUUGAAUUUGAGUUAGUUUUCAUUUUGAAAUUGAAUUUUAAUUAAAGUUUUGAGUUUGAAGUUGAAUUUAAUUUUCGUUUUAAGUUUAAAUUUCAAUUCAAAUUGGAAUUUUAAUUUUACCUCAAAUUUACAUUGGAUUAAGUUUGAGUUUGCAUUCAUACUCUAUUUAAAUUUGCAUCUUAAAUUUGAGUUUAAACUUAAAUUUUGGUUUUAGAAAUAAAUUUGAAUUUGAAUAUCAUUUAUAAAUUUUAAUCUAAAAUUUACAUUUAUGCUUUAGUCAGAUUUUAAGUUUGAUUAAAUUUUGAUUUGAAUUUUGAUCGUGGUUUAGUUUUAAAUUUGAUUUUGGAUUGCUUGAGUUUAGGAUAAGAUUUGAACAUUGAUUACAAAUUCGAAUUUUGAAUUUUGAAUUUUAGCUUUUCAUUUAUGUCACGCCCCAAUCCCCGCCAAUUUGGUCUGGUUCGGGUCACGUCAACAGACGCCGGACGGACAGAGCCUUCCCCGUCCGCCCAAGGCUCUAACAAUAUGUAUAAAUAGGCAAUCAACAAGAGAAUUGCAUAUAUAAUACAAGGCUUGCACGAGGGCAAGCAGCAACGGAAGCGAAAGCUCUAAGCUAAAUAUACAUCACACAUGAUAUUUGAUUUCAUUUAAACCAAAUUCAAGUAAACAAAGUUAUUACAUUUCAUUCAACCAUCAUAUCUUUUACAUUUAGCCAUCCACCAAAUACAUGAUUGUUUACAACUUUACAUCUCUAAAUCAACAAAAUAAAGUUGAUACAUGUAUAACAAAAAGGGAAUGACUACAAAAUGUGUAAAGUCCCGGUGGCCGCUACCUAUGGCGCCAAACCCUUGCCUCGGUCCUCCGCCGCCCCGCUCGUGCUAGGACCUGUAGGGUUAGUGGUGUGAGAACUACAACGAAGUUCCCAGUGGGCUCGGCUCCGACCUCGCCGACUUACCCACUAGGUCCAUCCAGGCAUAAGUAUUUCAAAGGAGAGAAAAUAACCACUACUAAUGCAACUAAUACUAUGCCUGCAAGAAAGAAGUCGGUAGACAUAUAAUUCGAUGCGGUAAUGGAAAUGCAUGCAUGCUCCAAUCAUAAUCAAACUUUGGCUCUUACCCAAUCUUACCGGUUAACUCUGUUAACCCCAAUAACUCACAACCCAAAAUCCCUUAAUAACGGGGGACUCGAACCUCCCUAGGGACCGUCAAUUGGUGGGACUUUACCACGCCCAGUGGUGACCAACUCUGGAGUGCACCGCUCGAGGGGGAGCGACCUCCCUCAAGCCAAGACGAAAUGUGAGUAUCGAUCUAAUCCUCAACUUGAGGACUCAUAGCCACUAGUCACAAUGCCAAUGUCACGAUAGGUCUCUACCUAUUCAUUCUUGCCACUCUCAAGGCUUUACCUUUGACGAUGUCAAAAUGGGUUAAACUAUAUUCAACGGUUCAUCUCUCAAUGCAAAUCUUGUUUCUAUGUCAAUGUCACCCAUAUUUUCUAUUGUCCAAGUCAAUUCUCACAUUCACACAACUUGAGGGUCCAAUCACACAUGUCCAUUUGGUUCUAUCAUCCUCUGUUCAACCACGUUAGAACCAUAUAAAUGAAGUCAAACCAAGUUCCGCCUGUAACAACCCUACUAUGCAUGAGUGGAUAUAUACAUAAAACAUAUAUGCUCAAGAAUAGAGAAAACAGACAUAGAAGGGAAUCCAACGAUUCCGGCGUGCACCCCCCACCUCUAAUAAUCGUGUGGGUGUAGUAUAUGACGUCUCCCGGAUUUUACGAAAGCCGCCUCCGCGCCCUAUAAUCAAAACGGUGCCAUAUUAGGCCUUUUUGUACAUGAACUAUACUCUAUCAUUUUCGCAAUGUUAAACGAAGUUGUCCCACGCGUUUAGGACACCCCCAAUUAGAUUUUUUUACGGGGUCAAUUUAUCCCCGAAAAAUCCUAGGGCAAAAACCCCAAUUCCAAGCCCUAAUAUUGUCAUUUAGGGUUUUCCCACGAAUCGAUCCCAACUCUAAGCAAACAAUAGCUUAGGAUCAUCUAAGAAGCAUCCUAGUAAGGUUUCUAGACCUUUGGUACCAACCCUAGGGCUCCAAACACCACUUCCAAGGAUUCACCAUGAGAGCACUUUAAGCUCUCAUGGGAACCAUGGUGUACAUGGCUCAAAAGAGUCUUUAAAGCCUCUAGGGAGCACAAAGCUCCCAUUUUCUAAACCAAAAUCCAAAUCCUAGGCUCAUUUCUACCAAAAACUCACCUUAGCCCUAGCUCCUCCAAGUCCUUCUUGUAGGAGAGCUUGUAGAACCCUCCAAAGCCUCCAAAUCCUCCUCCUCUCCACUUCUUCUUCUUCUUCUCCAAGUCCUAGAGCAUGAGUUCUAGAGAGAGAAAGAGAGGAAAUGGGUGAGAAGGGUGAAAAUGGCUGUGGGAGAGAGGAGAUGAAUCAUAUAUAGUGUUGUGACAAUUGCACUUAAGCCCCUCCACUUGUUUCUUCUUGAUCUGCCCAGACUGGGCGUUUUUCACCUUCGGGGACCGGUCUCCCCGACCAGGGACCGGUUCCCGAACGGGGGUUUUCUAGGACUUAGCCAAUUUUUCGAGUUUUCGGCUAUUGCGCAGCGAGGGACCGGUCUGCCUGUCACGCCCGGGUACCAGCGGAAGCAUAUCCGGCACGUGCACAGACCCGCCAUACACCUGCAGUAUAUAAGGCGUCUACAAGCAACAAGUCGAUAGGAGUAAAAACAUAUAAUAAGUCUAUCCUGAUAUCAGAGCAUAGUAAAACUCACAAAGACUAUCAAUAAGAGAACAAUAGUAUAAACCCAAAAUCUCAACCAUCAACGAAGUAUCACAACUAUAGUGACUGUCCAAAAGUACAUAUACAUCACGGGGUCAACAAAAGAAUAGAUACAACGGUGGUCUCUCUAUACAUAGGGACAUCACCCUCGGCCGUAGCCCGAGUAGCAAGGUGAUCGACUAGCACGCUCCUAGUAGUCCCUAGCUAGGCGCGACUCCCUUGCCACGAUCCCUAGCCUCUCCUGUAACAGGCUCUGUAAAAACACGUGAAAACUAUUAAAAUAGUUUCCAGUGGGUAAGCCGGCCAGCCCCUCGAGCGAAUUACACCACUAGGCUCAUGAUGUACUUAAUGAAAGCAAAGUAGUCAAUUGCGAUGAAUAUAUAAUUAUGCAGUCCUGCUAACAGUAAUAGCAAUGUAAAAUUAAUGAACUAUAACAACAUGUAAUUCUAGUCUCAAAGUAAUAAUUUAACUUGAUAUGGAGCAUGGCCACUACUAGACAUAAACAUGGCCUAAAUGUGUAAGUAAUUGUUCAUGUAUUGGUAACAUUUCAUACCUGUUCCAAUUUCCUUUAGCUUUCAUUCAUCAGGACCUACCCAAGGUAGUCCAGCUUGCGCCGUGCCUAAUGGUCCCGUGGUAGUAUAUACUCCCCACAGCAAUCCACUUCGGCACCCAAUCCCGCACGGGCGAACAACUGUCGCGUAGGCCAACUCCGGAGUGCCGGCUUGUAGGGAGCGACCCUCACAAGCGUGUGCGAAUGAGCACGAUGGCAAGCAAGCAUAUUUCACUGUCCACAUGUCUCAAAUAUCAUGUUUUCAUUUGCAAUGUUCUUACUCUCGAUCCUCCGAUCGGAAAUUCAAUACACAAAUAGUAACAAGAACUAGUAUCCACUAGAUUGUAAACAUGUCCGAGUAAUGCUAAAGCACAAGGCAUUAUAAUCUUUCCACUAUUAUGGCACUAUCAACAUGGUCAUAAGCAUGUCAUGGUUCUCUACUUUAGAGUCCAGAGAAUGUCAUUGUUCUCUAUUUUACCAUCGAUAAAGUCACGAGAAUAUCAUUGUUCUCUACUUUACAACAGCAUAAAUAUCAUAUCCAUUAUUUAUCUAAUUUAACUAAAGAUAAACAUAAAUAUAAGCAUAAGUACAAUUAUGCAUGAAUUCUCUCUACUUCAUAGAGGUUCUAUUAAAUGUUAAGGCAAGGAAGUUCCAACAACCAUAUUAUGCCAAUAUCGCACAAUUAUCUCAAAUUCCAUACAUAUAGAACAUAGGGGAGCUUCACUUGCUCUGGUUAGGUCAAACCCACCUAGUAUGAGGCUCCAACUAUCCACAAGAAGUCCCACAAACGGCUCAACGAAGCCCCAAUGCUGCUGAAAAAACAAAUGUCAAGAUCGGAGUAAAUCUACGGCCGAAAUGUCCGAUUUCGGCUCAAAUCACAUCUCGUAUCAAGUAGCAACAUAAAUCGCUGUUUUGGUUCACUUUAGUACCUUCAAUUAAGUCUCUAAAGGCUUCCCAAAGCCAACCAAGGAUGACCCAAAGGUCAGUCGAACUCCCGCUGCGAUCAACACCAAUACGACAUCAAAAUCAUCAUAUAAUAGCAAAUAUAGUCGGAAUCUUGCGAAUUCAGUUUUCUAACUGAAAUCCUUGCUUACCUCAGGUUAGAAUACCUUCCAAACCAACUUCUAAGAGUACAAGUUCAGCUCAACGAGGCUCGAAGACCUGCUGCGAAGAAAUAAUCCCGAAAUUGCAUCAAUUCGCGCAAAUAAGUGCAAUUAGUUCUAAUUUAGCUUCAUAAUUGGCUAAAUAUUCAAUUAAGCUUCAAAGUAGCUUAUCCCUGGUCUAAGAAGGUUAAUUCACAGCUAAUUAACUCAUUUAUAAUAGCUGAAUUCUCAGUUUAGCACAGCCAAGAGCAAAAAUCCGAAAUCGCUACUCAAAUCGACGAAUAGAACGUCGAUAACGACAAAAGUGAGUCGAUUACCUUCUUAAGCUUCCAACCAGUGACCUGCUGAUCUAGGGCUGCGAAAACCUGUCCAAAACACUCUCCCACGUGUCCGCGAAAGCUCUGCAACGCUCGCAAACAGCGAAGAACAAGCGCGGCGACGAAAACGGUGCAAAACGGCGACUUUUCUCUAGAGAGAGAAAAACCCUAGAGAGAGAGGAAGAGAAAAAUGGGAGAACCCUUCUCUGGACUCCAGACCCUUCCACAGUGCUCCUGGAGUCGUGCUGGGGGUUAUAGAUAGGGAUCAAAAUGUGAAAAGACCAAAAUAGCCUUGCUGCCACGAAUUGCCACUGUGUACCGGUACACCAUUGCGGCUGUACCGGUACAGCAAGCAGAAAAGGCUGAUUUUCGCCAGUUCAAUGCACUUUCUCACUUCUCGCAUUCCAAACAUCCUCUAACUUAUCCAAACACUUGUUCUAACCUUUUAGAACAUGUAAGAGUGAUCCACACACCAUUCCACACACUCGAACUCUGCAAUUUGCGAAAGUCCAGUGUAUUACAUUCACCCCUCCUAAAAAGAAGUUUCGUCCGCGAAACUUGUAAANAAGAGAACAAUAGUAUAAACCCAAAAUCUCAACCAUCAACGAAGUAUCACAACUAUAGUGACUGUCCAAAAGUACAUAUACAUCACGGGGUCAACAAAAGAAUAGAUACAACGGUGGUCUCUCUAUACAUAGGGACAUCACCCUCGGCCGUAGCCCGAGUAGCAAGGUGAUCGACUAGCACGCUCCUAGUAGUCCCUAGCUAGGCGCGACUCCCUUGCCACGAUCCCUAGCCUCUCCUGUAACAGGCUCUGUAAAAACAACCACCAAAAGGGCGUGAAAACUAUUAACAAUAGUUCCCAGUGGGUAAGCCGCCAGCCUCGGCGAAUUACACCACUAGGCUCAUGAUGUACUAAAUGAAAGCAAAAGUAGUAAUUGCAUGACAUAUAUAAUUAUGCAGUGCUAACAGAUAAUAAGCCAAUGUUAACAAAUAAUGAACAUAUAAACAACAUGUAAUUCUAGUCUCAACAGUAAUGAUUUAACUGAAUAAUAGGAGCAUGGCCACUACUAGCAUAAACAUGGCAUAAAUGUGUAAGUAACUACUGUACACUGUAUCUGGUAAUCAUUCAUUACUGUCCAAUUUCCUUUAGCACUUUUUCUUUCAUUCACAGGGACCUACCCAAGGUAGUCCAGCUUGCGCCGCGCCUAGUGGCCCCGUGGUAGUAUACACUCCCCACGGCAAUCCACUUCGGCACCCAAUCCCGCACGGGCGAGCAACUGUCGCGUAGGCCAACUCCGGAGUGCCGGCUUGUAGGGAGCUACCCUCACAAGCGUGUGCGAAUGAGCACGAUGGCAAGCAAGCAAAGUCCACAGUCCAACAUGUCUCAAUUAUUACAUUUUCAAUGUUCUCGGUCUUGAUCCUCGAUCGGAAUUUCAAUACACACAGAGUAACAAGAACUCGUAUCCACUAAAUUGUCUAUUAUGGCACUAUCAACAUGGUCAUAAGCAUGUUAUAGUUUUCUACUUUAGAGUCAAGCAAACGUCAUUGUUCUCUACAAAGUCACGAGAAUAUCAUUGUUCUCUACAAAGUCACGAGAAUAUCAUUGUUCUCUACUCUACCAAAGCAUCAUUAGUAUGUCCAUUAGUUAACUUAACUAAAUAUAAACAUAAACAUAGGCAUAAAGACACUUAUGCAUGAGUACUCUCUACUUCAUAGAGGUUCUAUUCAAUCAUAUGUAUACAUAUCAACACUAUAAUAUAGUGACUCGUCUCAAAUUCUGUAUCAAUCACAAAAGCAUACAACUGUAUCAAUUCUAUAGUACAUAUAGAACAUAGGGGAGCUCCACUUGCUCUGGUUAGGUCAAACCCACCUAGUACUAGGCUCCGAUCAGCCCAAAAGAAGUCCCACAAUCAGUUCUAACAGGCCUCGACUCCGCUGAAAAACGAACAUCAAAUCCGGAUUGGAAACCAUCAGUAUAAUAUCCGAAAUCGGCACAAUUUCACUUUGUACACAAAAGCAACUUGAAUCCCUGUUUAGGGCUAGUUCAAUACCUUCGGUUAUGCCUCUAAGGGCCCUCACAAGUCAACUGAAGAUGAUCCCAGGCUCGAUCGCACUCCUGCUGCGAACGACAUCAAAACGGCAUCAAAAUCAUUGAAUAGUAAUAAUUAUAGCCGGAAACUUGCGAUUUCGGUUUUCUAACUGAAGUUCUAGCUUACCCUUGGUUAGAACACCUUCCAAACCAACUUCUAAGAGUACAAGUUCAGCUCAACGAAGCUCGAAGACCUGCUGCGAAGAAAUAAUCCCGAAAUUGCAUCAAUUCGCGCAAAUAAGUGCAAUUAGUUCUAAUUUAGCUUCAUAAUUGGCUAAAUAUUCUAUUAAGCUUCAAAGUAGCUUAUCCCUGGUCUAAGAAGGUUAAUUCACAGCUAAUUAACUCAUUUAUAAUAGCUGAAUUCUCAGUUUAGCACAGCCAAGAGCAAAAAUCCGAAAUCGCUACUCAAAUCGACGAAUAGAACGUCGAUAACGACAAAAGUGAGUCGAUUACCUUCUUAAGCUUCCAACCAGUGACCUGCUGAUCUAGGGCUGCGAAAACCUGUCCAAAACACUCUCCCACGUGUCCGCGAAAGCUCUGCAACGCUCGCAAACAGCGAAGAACAAGCGCGGCGACGAAAACGGUGCAAAACGGCGACUUUUCUCUAGAGAGAGAAAAACCCUAGAGAGAGAGGAAGAGAAAAAUGGGAGAACCCUUCUCUGGACUCCAGACCCUUCCACAGUGCUCCUGGAGUCGUGCUGGGGGUUAUAGAUAGGGAUCAAAAUGUGAAAAGACCAAAAUAGCCUUGCUGCCACGAAUUGCCACUGUGUACCGGUACACCAUUGCGGCUGUACCGGUACAGCAAGCAGAAAAGGCUGAUUUUCGCCAGUUCAAUGCACUUUCUCACUUCUCGCAUUCCAAACAUCCUCUAACUUAUCCAAACACUUGUUCUAACCUUUUAGAACAUGUAAGAGUGAUCCACACACCAUUCCACACACUCGAACUCUGCAAUUUGCGAAAGUCCAGUGUAUUACACUGCCCCUCCAGGGACCGGUCUCCCGAGGACCGGUCUCACCACGAAGGACCGGUUGCCUCAGGACUUCCUGGCAGGCUGCGCGUACGGGGACCGGUCUCUCCUUCAAGGACCGGUCCCCGAGAGCUCAAAAUCUGGGACUUAGCCAGAUUUCCAAAUUUGCUCUCCGGGUCCCCUUUUUGCUCCGUUUAAGAACUCCAAUGCACUUUGGGUCCGCUUUAACCCAUUCAAUUUCGCGUUCCGCUCGUGUUGACGGAACUCGACGCGAUUUACGAGGGAUGUGGUAU